UGAGAUCAUGAAUGGCAAACUGGAGGGGCUAAUUUAUGAGUGUGUGUGCUUAUAAAUAGGGUCUCUAGCUAGCUAGUAAUCACAUCAACACAACCACGAGAGAACACUUCCAUUUUUCUAGAAAGAACUUUGAGCCGCAACAUCCGCCUUCCGAUCUUGCAAUGGCUUCCAGCUCCGUGCUUAAGAUGGCCGCCGUUUUCAUGCUGGCCCUAUUCGCCGGCCAGGCGCUGAUGGCUACGCCGGCGAUGGCAGAAGGACUAGGUAACCGACACAACCUUUUGGAGAAGUAUGAUGAGACGCAAUGUCGCGGAUACGCCACAUGCAAUAUUGUAUGCUUCUACCAAGUUUUUCAAGUCUGCAUCAUCUACAGCCCUGUUGCAUUCUGCAACACUUGGGCGUUUGGGUUCUGCAAGGACAAGAGAUACUGAGGCAUAAAUAGCAGUGCAGCUCCUUUUGGGAUGCAUGCACAACUACAUGAGCAACUCACCUCAUCAGUGUCAACUAUUAUUGUUCCUUGGUUAUUCGCGUUGUGCGUUGUAAGAGUCCCAAUAUGUUCCUCCCUUUAUUUCCAACUAUCAUGUAUCCGUUGCUUAACCAACUAUUUAAUUCCUUCAUUGUCUGUCAUCAUGGUACUUGUUCAACUAAAAAUUCCCCGUCGGAUACAAAUGUAUGUGUCGUGUGAUUAUAAAAUGGUUCCGCCCCUGCAACAUUUUUCAAUCCAUGAUGGCCAUAUAAGCAUGCUCUUCCCACCCUUACCCAUGAAUCUUUUUUCAUGAAUGACCAUUCGUUUGACAGAUUUGGCAUGUGGUUCGACAAAAUGCCAUAAAAAAUAAAGGAUGCAAAAAUAUAAUAACGGAGCUUGAAACUGAAUUGGCACUAACCUUGUAAAUACUUUUCGUAGUGGACAAGACAAAUACUACAUAGGCCAUCGCCACACCCAGUUUCGCACGAUCAUUGCAGAUGAUGCGAUGUUUGACAACAUAUACAUUCUAAACGGACACUCAGGGCCCAUAGGGUGACUAGCGUUGCUUCCGUGUUAAUCCGGGCCCAUAGGGUACAAUUUCUUCUUCUGUGAGUCCCUAUCAUGAUGAACCCACUUCAACUGCCGUGAUUGCGUUGGCUUUCAGGGACCGAAUACAUCGAGUCGGGGUUUUCGAGCGUUGUCUCCUUAUUUACCUUGAGUACCCCAAACCCAUUGAGGUCGCUUGCCGACGCUCUCUAGGAGUCGUCCAGGUUCUUGGGUCAUCCUUCUUCUGGCUAGAGUCGCUUUGGCAUCGAUCCUUUGGACAUUUGCUUCAAUCCCCCAAGAACGUCUUUCACUGCCCCUACCACAGAUGCUACCGAAAAGAGUUCCGGCAUUGAGCAAGUAUUUUCUUGGACUAUCCUUAUCAAACAUCUCUCAUGCCUCAUUGUACCUUUGAAAACUGAAAUUAUAUCCAGGUACGAUAGAUCUGUGGGAAGUCAUUCCUUUGCCUCAGAAAUCCGCAAUUCCCUGAUCAAAAAUCCUAUUUCCCGCUCCUCUAGUUUCUUAAACCAGCACUGUUUCCUUUUCCAGCAGGGAUACUCCCGAAAAACGGGCUUCCAUUCAAAGUGGAAAGAAAGAGACCGGUCCGUUCUCCCUCUUUGCCUUGCGGUUGAGUAGAUUGUAGAGCCCCUCCCAGGCCUCGCAACCAAGAGUCACUUGUCGAAAGUUGACCAGGAAGACAAUAACUAUCGAGGCUGGAAUAGAUAGAUGAAACUCUAAAAUGUUUCACCUUCUUCUAUGGUCAUUCUUAUUUGCAUGAAGCUCUCACAUGUAAGCUUCGUCAGGCUUGUGGACAUCACAACGCCCAUUCAAAUGUAUCUCUUCAACAUGCAAGCACUUUGUUAGGGCCGGUGGUUUUUUGGAAGUGGGUACACUAUUUACGCCUCCAUGGAAUCUGGCUAGCUUGAAGGAUGACCUCGAGUUUCUCCUGGCACCCCGCUAGGCAUGAUCUAUGGUUUUCUCCUCAUUCCCAGUGAUGUCAUAAAUGAUUGGGACCGUUCACCUAGAACGGAAAAUCAUUGAAGGGGACUGAUGAAGAAGUUGGGCGUUUCCUAAAUUCCAUUGCGAGAGUGGUUUUUUUACACCAGGGGGCGUUCCACCUACAUUGCACCCAUGAUAAUCACUAAAUUCAACAAAAAAUAGCUAAAUAAUUUGAAUUUGCAGGCUCGGCUAUGACCAAUUGUUUAGGGUGCUUAUUUGGUGGCCAAAUGACAUCCGAGCAGCUCUUUACAUAAAAAAUAUAUCAAAUUUUGUCCUGAAAGUUAUGUACGCAUAGUUUGAGCAGAAGUUGUAUUUUGUAUAUAUGAAGCUCAUUUUAUACUAUUUGGUCACCAAACUAUGCAAGCACCUAAAACACUUGUUCAAUAAUGCCCCAAAGUUUUUUUAUUUGUAAUGAUUUACUCUUCAGCGUGGGUAAAUUGCACUUUGGUGUAGCCACAACUUUUCCUUCCCAUCCGUAUAUCUGAUGGUACCAAUCUCGAGGUACCGGUCGGGAGUUUUUAGCUAGAAGGAUGUGUCGAUCGUGACAACAAGGUCAAAUUGAUGCAGGGGUACUAUCCUAGGGACGAUGCCAUUAGGAGUUGCUUUUGACGAUGAUCCUUUUGACCGAGUAUCGCAAUACAGAAACAUUGCUACAUUAACAUACAUGAAUUUGUAUGACAGUGGGAAGUAACAUCAAAUUAUGAAAAUGACACAGGGAGACAAUCUUCCCCUUUCGGCCCCCAUGAUGCGAAUAACAACCUUACUCCUACUUGUCUAGAAUUAUAUGUACCAACAGGUAUAGUGUGUGUGACAGGGGGGGGGAUCCAGUGAGCCUUGUGCACUAAGUUUCUAGCACAUUUGGUGACUCGUCUUGACUAGAUGUCCAAGUUCAGAUCUAGUUUAGGCUUGAAGCUAGGGCUUCCAUUCAGUCAUCUUGGCCCUCCAAGCCGAAGUUAUCAUCUCUUGUUCAUGGCGCUAAUGUAUUUAUAUGGUCUAGGGUCAGUUGGGCGCCUUGCUUUCCUAGCCUCGCGUUCAUGAAAAGCUUGAUAAUUUCACUAUCAUGACAUGUCCUCCCUCCUUCCAAGGAGUUACAGAGGUUACCCGUCGUCCUAAUUGCACUCCUAGGAGUGACUCUCCAUUGGAGUGGGUUUGACAUUCGCGAAAGUUUCCUUCAAGCUUACGCGACAUAGCAUGGGCCCGAUCCACCUUUUGCCUACAACAUAUGACCUGCCCCGACACUACAUCUUCACCCAUGGUGAGUAAACAACUCCUUGGUUGGCCGCUCCACCUAGAUACGUGUCGCCAAAAGCAACUCCCGAUGAUCCGGUAGUUGAAGUGACGACCAGAUCUGAACCCCGUGGAUACUUGAACAUAUAACUUGGAGAGGAGAAUAUAUCUUCUUUCAUCAAAUAUCACUUUAUUUCUACAUAACUACAUUGACUAUCAAAUUUUGCAUUCGUUAUAUAUUUAUCUCAAAUUUUGCUAAAACCAAAAUAUUUUUUAAUACACAUGAAAUUUCCAUGUAACAAUUUGCGUAAAACAUCAUCUACACAACUAAUGAAUCAACUGGGAUGCAACAUGCAUAUAUCUAAUUAGCUCGUGGUAAUUGUUUAAAUAAGUCAAGUUGAAUCAAUGAUAAUAAAAACAAAAUAAGAAAUUAAUUAUAAAAUAUUUCAAUAUUAAUUAAUGUGGAUGACAGGCAUAAUGUAACCAUGACUCCUUGAUAGGUAGGUAGAACAAAGGCAGGGUUGAUUUUAUAUACGUGUGUUGCUUCCGAUAAUUUACCUGUCGGCAAACAGAAAGAACAAUGAUAGAUCAAACUAUGUGCUUUUGGUUAUCAGUCGGCAAACAGAAAGAACAAUGAUAGAUCAAACUAUGUGCUUUUGGUUAUCAGCAUACGCGAAACACAAUUGAAGAAAUGUAAUGAUGGUACCCCAUGAGACGCUUUCCUAGGUGAGUAAUUUAUGAUCUUGAGAUGCCCUUUACACACUUACGUAAGUUGACAACUAACUCUAUAAUGCCAUUAAGACUUGAACACUAUUGUUGUGUACUAUUUUUGACUUAAUAAUGAAUCAUUGUGCCAUGGUGGUAGUAUAUUUUAGACUCGGAUCAUGGCAUGCACAAUGAUCAUCUAUCGAUUUUUAAUUAAGUGCUAAAGUAUGUGGUGGCAAUAUAUGGAACUAGCUGCUAGAGAUUCGCAACAUGCAAGGGAGUACUACAACAUCAAUUAUUUCAUGCAUGAUGAGAUUGAGCUUACACAAUCUCGUAUUAUCAUGCGUCUACUUUUGAAAUAUACAUAAAAAAGGAAGUAAAACUUGUAGGAAAAAUUAUUGGCUGGUCAAAUAAUUUCAUUCUUCUGGAAUGUAUGACCAUAUUAACACUACUAGGGAAAAGCCUAGCAGUUGCGCGGGUUUUUGGCCUACCCGUAGCGCGGGUGGCAGCGCAACUAGUAAGGCGCUACAGCUAAAGGUUUGUAGUAGUGUGGGUUUACCCGCGCUACUGUUAUAUCCACUUAGUAGUAGUGCUUCCUGGAAAGGGCGCUACUGGUAAUUACUAGUAGCGCUUCUCGCAGCCCGCGCUACUACUAUUAUUCUGUAUUAUAUUUCUUUUUUAUUUCAUGUUGUAUUCGUACACCUCUAUACAAGUGUUCAUACAAAGCAAUUUAGAGAUUGUUUUUACAUCAUAAUGAGUUAUUACAUCACUGGGUGAAAGAACCGUGGACUAGUUUCAAGUGGAUGGACAUCCACUUGAUAUUAAUCCGCGGUUCUUUCACCCAAUGAUAUAAUAAAUAUUGUCAUAAUCAUAUCAUUAAUAACUUAUCAUCCUAACACAUCAUUGUCAUUUAACACCUCCUCAUGAUCAUCAUUUUCAUCAAUGAGACAUCAUAUAGCAAGUUGGUCACUAGUCAUAAUCACAACUCCUCCUCCUCAUCAUCAACUCUAACACACCGUAUCACAUAAUAACACAUUGUACCUAGGACCUACUUCUCUCUCAUAGGACCUACUACCUUCUCUUAGGUAAAAUAGCAUAAAACAAGAUAGGCCUUGACUCUCCAUUAUGGAGAAUGGAGAUUAUCUUGUCUCCAAUUAUUGCCCUUCACAAAAUGUUGCUUCCAAGUAGCGCCCUACGAUUGACCAUACAUUUUCUCCGUUCUUUGAUUGUCAUGUCUUCAUUGGUUUUAGAAAUUCGAUAUGGACAGGAGUGAUUCGUAGGAUGACCUGGCCGUAUGUUCAAAACAUCAAGGAGACCUUUCUGAAACAACAGAUGAGGCACAGAAUCCUUCGGGAUUUUCUGUUGAAAAACAUAGUACCUCCACCGAUUUGGGGCGGUUCUUUCGGUUCAGGGGUACCACGGGCAUUUCGCGUGUCGGGAUUUCACAGGAGUUGGGAGUUUUCGCGCGCGUUGUAAUUUCGGAAUAGCAAGACGCGGGUUGACAUGAAGGGAGUUGUCGGAGCACAACGAGACAAGUAUAUAUCUUAAAUAUUUCGGACUAACAAGACGCGGGUUGAAAUUUCCGGACAAGCCUUGUACCGUACCAAAUCAAUGCACAUUACAAAUGUCAUUGAAAACUUUGAAUUCAUGUUAUGUUUAAUUAAAAUAGUUUGCUACGUGUAUAAUGCAUGAAACCUACUACUCAAAUGAACGUUUUAGUGCAUUCCAACGUAUAUACUACCGCUUCAAUAUGAACAAAAUUUAAAUUCGUUUCUCUAUUUGAAUAAGAUCUACAGUAAUGAUUGUUGUGAAGUCAAAGCAUUUGAAUUCGUUUCUCUGUUUUAAUAAGAUCUACAAUCAUCAUUAUUGUCAAGUUAAACCAUCAUUUGUGUAUUAUCUUCACAUCACACCACAUGAUUAGUCUCGAGUUACAUAUGAACUAUGUGUACUAUAUGAACUCGAACUCGAUUUUUUGAAUCCACUUUAUGUUGAUUUCAAAUCACAUUACAGUUCUAGCUCUAGCUAGAUCUUCAUAAUCUAAACCAUGUCUCAUAUGUAUAAUGUGUUUAUCACAUUAUGUAUGGUGCCCCGCCCCUACGCCUACAAGUAUUUAGAUGUGAGUUGCAAACACCACACAUUACCACAAAUUCAAAUAAAAUGUGAGAAUGUUCGAUAUAUAGUAUUGUUUAGAUUGUUCGAUAUUUAGUUGUAAGCUGCAAACGCCACACAUUAUCACAAAUUCAAAUAAAAUGUGAGAUUGUUUGAUGUAUAGUAUGAUUUAGAUUGUUCGACAUCUAGCUGUGAGUUGCAAACGCCAUGCAUUAUCACAUUAUGGUAUAACAUGUGCACAACGCGUGUAUCACCGCUAUAUUCAUGCAUCCAUAGGUUUAAAACACUAUGAUCUCCUAUUCAAAUAUAUGAAUCUGCUUUCAUAUCAAAUUAUGAUCUUUGUUAGUCUCUUACACCCACACAAUCCUCUAACAUUUGUAGCUACCACUAACUUUCUCUCGUGCAUGCACACACCCUCCUCACCCUCCCCCUCCCUUGGCAUUCUAUCCACCGGGCACAUUCAUUUUUUUUCUUUAGCUCGUUCUCCCAGAGUCUCCACAACUCCCUUCCGACACACACUGAUCGAUAAACCUGUCCAGCGAUGCCUUCCUACAAGAUACACACGCACCUUCAAUCUCCUCCUUUAUGUGUCCUUGCCUCGUGUCUCUCAUACGCUCACACACACGUGUAAACUCUCGCCCAUCUUCUCAUCAAUCUCACAACCGCACACUCCUCCCCCUAUCUAGCUAGUAGCUGGGCCUCUCGCACCACCUCCUAGCUCCAUUCUCUCUGUCUACCCGUCUCACUUGGCCUUAUUUGCCUCUAACAAAUGGACAUACACCGACCGAUCUCCCGCUAUACAUAUAUCUAGCUAGGUCCUUAUAACUCGUUUUUACCCAUGCUCGAUCGAUCUACCUCAUUAGUUAUGUCUCUCCCUUCCUCCGACAAACAACAAUUGAUCUAACAAUCUAGUUAGGUUUGCUUACCAAAUACAUGGUUCCCCUUCAUCAUCCAUGGAUGUGUCCAGACAGAUCUAUCACGCACAGGCACACACAGAAACACAUUCCCGCUCUUAUUGAUAAGAUGCAGUUCCACACUCAGUUUGUCUAGUAGGCCUCUCCCACCAUCUUCAAGACGCAACUCCAUCACACAUCCAGCACUCUACCCCUCUCCCUCCCUCUCUAUCUCCUCUCUCUCUCUCUCUCUCUGUCCCAUCAUAUUUCCCGUCCUUCAGUUAUGUAUGGAUGUCAACCGAUCUUCCUCAAGACAUAGCUGGGUCUCUCCUUCUCAGCACAUAUACGAGUCGUUCUACCUCUAUAGUUAGGCCUCUGCCUACCCCUCCCCCCACCCCCUCCGCCCCCACAUACCGAUACAUCGAGCGCUCUAGUCAUGUCUCCCUGCCACACACAAACUUCACAUGUUNNNNNNNNNNNNNNNNNNNNNNNNNNNNNNNNNNNNNNNNNNNNNNNNNNNNNNNNNNNNNNNNNNNNNNNNNNNNNNNNNNNNNNNNNNNNNNNNNNNNNNNNNNNNNNNNNNNNNNNNNNNNNNNNNNNNNNNNNNNNNNNNNNNNNNNNNNNNNNNNNNNNNNNNNNNNNNNNNNNNNNNNNNNNNNNNNNNNNNNNNNNNNNNNNNNNNNNNNNNNNNNNNNNNNNNNNNNNNNNNNNNNNNNNNNNNNNNNNNNNNNNNNNNNNNNNNNNNNNNNNNNNNNNNNNNNNNNNNNNNNNNNNNNNNNNNNNNNNNNNNNNNNNNNNNNNNNNNNNNNNNNNNNNNNNNCCACCCCAAAACAAAAAACACUCACGAACGCGAUUUGUAUCUCUCACAUACACCCACGUUAGUGGGGGACGUGCACGAAGAGAAUAGGUGCAUGCAUGGCGCACGUACUCCCGUCUCUUUCCCAACCACACCCGCGCGGGUACACGGUGGAUCUCAUUUCUUUAUGAAAAAGGCAGCCAACAUGGUAAUUUUGCAUGUGUACUGGUUGUCCACUUGGUGGAGGGAGGAUCGUCUACCACAGGUGAACAAACAAAUUGAGACUUGACGCGUUAUGUUAAAAAAAGAGGCAAACCAUGUGGGGCCUACCUUAGAGGCAAGGCUCUAUACACCGGAGUACUUUUGAUGGGUCCCGUCAACUCGCAGAACGAGAAGAAGCUUGCUUAGUACGCCGUCUCCCCCGCCCACGGGCGCGGUGGUGUACAGUCCGCCUCAUGCCUUCUCCCUCGCCCAUGCGCGCGAUGGCUCGUAGGACGAGGAGAAAAAUUUACUACUCCCUCCAUUUACUCCUCGUCCCUACUACCUUGGUUAUAGAGAUAAUAUCAUAUUGUUUGGAAUAUAUAUGUCCUUUAGUAGAUUUCAAUAUGAACUACUAGUACAUACUCCAAAUACUGAUGUCUAUAGACGUAUUUAGAGUGUAGAUUCACUCAUUUUGCUCUAUAUGUAGCACUCUCCCUCGCCCCUCGCCCAUCGCCCAUGUGGUGGACGUGCAGCAAUUCAUCCGGUCUCAUAUAGCCAGAACGAUAUAUACUGCACUACCUUUAUUGCUCGACUUCCCGAAGAGGCGAAGAGCCAAUCGCAAGGUUACAGGAGAACGAGUAGUAGGUGCCGCAUCAUUUAUAAAUAAAGUUUUUUUCUUCAGUGGCACGUACGCAAUAUGAUAGUAGGUUCAUAUGGAGAGAAAAGGAAACCGCUCCACUAUAUACAUAGUCAGGACGGGCCACCCUACACAGUUGCUUGCUGGGGUUGCUCUCUUCACACUCUCUCUCGCACAAAAUGACUGUGGCCACAUAUCUAACAUCCCGGUGGAUCACGUCCACCGGGGGAAGGGGUGGAUGCUUAGUGUAGAUGCGGUCACCGUCACCGACGGCGAAAACCCACUGUCGGCACGUCCUGAUCAGGGCUCCCCGCCGUUCUCUCUCACAAAGCCGGUGAGGUUGCCUUCGUCCCUUGCUCACUGCCGCGACGUGGGCAGUGGCCGCCUCCUGCCGCCCUCCUCAAGGUUGAGCUACGUCCCUUAGGUACAACUCCCUUUACAGUCGGCUUGCACCACUGCUCCAGCUGCCCACAUCACUCCAUGUGGAUAUUUCUCUACUUCUUUGCCCCGAACAUGCCUCUACUGGAUUCUACAUACUGUAUUUGUGAUGAGUUUGUGUCUCAUCAACUAGUCCCAGUAAUCUUAUUCUAAUCACGCUUCUUCAAUUUCUUUGCCACAGGGAUGCUCAUCUCGAUUUUGGUGAAACUGCACAAAAUGAUCCGAUGGUCAAAAGGUUGCAAACUUCAUUUCUUAGGAAGCUCGAACGUUGCCAGCAAAUUGAAGCCUGGUUAGGGUUCACGGUUCAAGGGCUAGGGACUGCAUGGAUUGUUUUUUUCUUUAGCUGCCCCUGUUCCAAAAUAAGUGUCAACUUUAGUAGUAGUACAACUUUGUACUAAAGUUUGCAUAAAGUUGAGACACUUAUUUUGGAACGGAGGGAGUACAUAUUUGCUAUGAUCUGUCAAUCAUUGAGAUGCAAUAGCAUGGAUGUUAGUUUCCUUUGUAUUUGAUGAAAUGUUGCAACGGGAAACCUUGGACGCAAGAUACAUGUAACAGAAGCUGGAAGCUUCAUAGCAUUGUACAGAUUUAUCUCGCUGCUCAAUUACAGUACGUACUAUACUAGUACUUCCACCGUUCCCAAAUAUAAGUCUUUUUAGAGAUUUCACCAUGAACCACAUGCGGAUGUAUAUAGAUGCAUUUUAAGUGUAGAUUCAUUCAUUUUGUUCCGUAUGUAGUUCACCUAGUGGAAUCUUUUCAAAGACUUAUCUACUCCACUUCUAGGAAUUCUCUAUCCUCUCCCUGAGCCACAUCAUCAAACAUAAUGUAGCCGUUAGAUGAACUAAAUCAGUCCAUAAUAGCCUUCUGAUCUAGACGUUGAGAGGCUUCGCACUAAGCCACAUGCAAGCAUGCACAAAUACCGUGGUAUGCAUGUGAGUGGGUUUUAAAUCACAUCAACAUGUCUGCACGCAAGCAUGCAUCGGUAGCUUGCAUAUAAGUGAGCUUUUAAGUUCCAUUAACAUGUCAAAAAGAAAAAUAUAAUCCCAUUAUGCAGUAGGAGUUGGCUGAUCUUUUUUCCUUACGUAGGAUGAUCUAAAUGAUGAUGGGAGUUUUUUUUAGUUUGGCUACCAAAUUUGUUAUGCGGUUAUAGAGUUUUUUUAGUUCUAUGAAAUCGAUAAUUUUACGCUGAGAGAUAUACGGCUGUUCCGCGGCAACGCGCGGGGACUCAUCUAGUAUUUAGGAACGGAGGAGUACUAUGUAAAGAGUUAAGUGUCGCACGGUGCCUAGAAAAUAUGGUGAUAAUGUGAGGUGGGCCAUGUAAUCAUUGAGCCUGCGUGUUUUCACUGCUCUUGCACUCCCCCACUGUAAGAAUGGAGAAAAUUGUAAUCUAGUAGUACAUCCUUUCGUCGAAAGCAUGGGACAUCCAGCAGUCCUACCACCUCAGUAAUAAAGACCAAUGAGCUGUCAAAUCACAUAGACCCAGCAGUAAGUUGGACCGACGAAGCAACCAUCACUCUUGGGCCAGUGAGAGAUCGCGUCCGCUCUGCCCGGGCAUGAAUGCAGCACCAAUUCUUUGGAGCGGUGCUGACCGUUUCAGGCGGGAAGCGCGCGCGGGCGAUGGAGGGGCUUUGGGUGGGCCAGGCUGGUCAGGAGCGGGCAUGGCAGUUGUCCGCGUGUCCUUACCGGACACGCCCGAAAACGAGAGGAUGCACCGACUCUCGUGGCUAAAAUCGUACACUACACACCAUCUCUCUGUAGGAUUAGGUUGAUCUGUCACUCUCUCUAACACACACAUGCUGUUAAACACACACACACACACACACGCACAUGCACGCACUUUGGUUCCGGUGCACCUUCUAACGUGACUUAUUACACCUAGAUGGACGGAGUAGUAAGUACGAGAUACGGUGGAACACUGACUUAGGUCGAAUACAAGUGCCCAAAAUUUUGUGCAUGUUAUAAUAAGGAUUCACUUAAAUUGUACGUGAGCGAAUAGAGGGAUCAAUUGGACAGUGUUCCUGAGCAGUAGCGAGAUGUGUAUGGUAAGAUACAUUGCUGGCGCUUUUAUUUUUCUUAUUAAUUUGUUUGUUUCACCCUCUGACUGGUGGGACUCAAUGUACUACAUGGAGAGAUGUAAGGUGACUAAUUGUGCAUUAUUUCUGCACCUCUAUUGAUUGUCUUACAACCAAAGCCACAUGACGCGAUUAUAAUUUAAAUCCCAAUGACUCCCACACACAAAAAAACCGGCAUGCUUGUCACACGAAUGCAGGAAUGCAUAAAAGGUUAUUUUCCGCUCGUUGAACAUAACGGGAGGUUUGUGUAGCUGGUUAGCCUGUUGCUCAUCAAACUUGGGGUCUCGGGUUCGAUAACUACACUUGAGCAUAAUUUGUGCCAGGAGGAUUCUUUGACUGGUCAAAAUGGAUGGAUACGGAGGUAUACGAUCUCGUAUUGACCGUAUAAUCACCUCAUCACGUAUAAGUUGCAGCCUCGGUGCUUGUUUUCUAGGGUUUGCACACUUCACACUCUCUCUCCAGUAUGUAUAUACAUGCUGGAGCCUCAGCGCUUGUAGUUGCUCUCUUCACAGUCUCUCACCCUCUCCAGAUCUAAACAAGACUUUGUUGGCCUCUCUCUCCCCUCACUGCUACUCAAAGAGCCGGCAGCAUCCGUCCUCCGGGAAGGGAAGGAGGCUUAACGCUGUCGCCGUUGGCGAGGGAGGGAAUCCACUACCAGUGUAGCUGUUCACUUUCACCCAGCGGCGGCGCGGGAGGGCCUCCGACCCCUUCUUCUUCACUGUCAUCCCGUCGCCCACCGAACCACGCCCCAAGAACCUUAAGGUAUAAUUGACUUAUUCCACAUGCAUUGCUCUAGAUGCAUAUAUACCAUGAAUCUAGGACGUGGUUCAAAGAGGAAAGGAGUGGGGGAAAGUAGUGGGAAAAGUUGUAUAGCAUGAAUCUAGGACGUGGUUCAAAGAGGAAAGGAAGGGGAGAAGUUGUAUAGCAUGAAUCUAGGGCGUGGUUCAAAGAGGGAAGGAAAGGGGAAAGUUGUAUAGCAUGAAUCUAGGAUGUGGUUCAAAGAGGAAAGGAAUGAGGGAAAGUAGUGGGGAAAGUUGUAUCACAUAAGUCAAGGACAUGGUUCAAAGAGGAAAGGAAGGGUCGAAAGUACUAGUACCGACUGGCUAUCCAGCACCUACGUUGGUCGAAAAGGGAAAACAAUGACAAACACAGUACGCACAUAUGUAACAAACUGAUCUUUUGUUUUGGGGGACAAGGCUGUAGAGUUUGAGCAGGACUAGAUUUGGUGCGCUCACAUAGGGAAAGGUGUCUAAAGAUAACAAAACUGGGACCAACACAAAUAUGCUCCUUGGUUGUUUGUUCUUUGUUGCAACAGACUAUGCAUGACCACAUUACAUCGGUAGUUGCGCAUGGUGCUGGUGCGUCCACUGUCCCGUGCAACUCUUUAGUUGUUGUUAAUCUAAGGCCCUGUUUGGUUAAAAACUCCCUAGUCCCUACCUGCUUGGUUCCAGGGACUAAACAUUGACUAGAGGUUAUUAAAUGACAUGCUAAAAGACCAUGUUACCCCCAGUAAUGACCUAAUAGAGACAAGGUGCGAUGCGUGGCAGGGGCAACUCUUGGAAAAAGUCCCAAAAAGACUCCUCGGGGUCUUCUUUCGUUAGUCCCAAAUGCCCAAUUUUAGUCCCUAAAAGUCCCUCUUGUUUGGUUUAGAGGGACUGACACAGAGUUAUUUUGUCCCUACACCAAAAUGUCCCUAUAAACAAACACCCUCUAAUAAUGCCGUUGGAAAAUUGAUGCAAUGCCACAGUUAAAAGCAAAUUACAUGUUUAAUGAAUUUUAUUGUUAAUAUAGUCUCUAUGUUAAUAUUAAUCAAUGCCACCGUUUGAGAAAUACUACUAUCUUGUUUUCUUUCCCAUUUAGAUAAGGUAGAUGCUUCUUUUUGUUGGCUUCUGUGUCAUCCAUCGUUAUUGACCACUAGCUUCCUUCACACCUCUGUGUAAAUAGGGUUAUCUACUUCACCUCGUUUCCAUUGUGACCUUUUGUUGCACUGCACAAAACACUUUUGUUUUAAGAGUGUUUUGUGCAGUUCAAGCAAAAUGUCACACCGACAAUGUUGCAUGAUUGCUUGAUCUUAGUGGAACUGCACAAGAGGAGAUCUUACUUCCUAUCCAUGCCGGCAAAUUUGGUUCAGAUCUUCUUCUUGUGAGUUGUUUGAAUUCCGCAUCAUGAGAGGUCAGUACUAGCCUUAUUUCACAUGAUUCUCCAGUGUGCUUUCAUAUGUUGUGCUACUUGUAUGGUAACGUUGCUUGAUUUUAGUGACUGCACAUAUGGAGACAAGACAUCCAAUAUGUAUGUGCACCGUAAUAUCCCAUUGAGGUAAGUAAGGAUAUUUCACAACUGUUGGCCUGAAUUUUGCCACUUUCAUCGGAAAAUUAAUGUCAUUGUUUAGUGUUAUACUUGUGCUCCCUAAUUUACAUGCCAAAUGUUACAUUGAAGGCGAAGCUUUUCUGUUAUUGAACCAAGUGAUGAAGGGGAAGAACAAGCGAAAGAAAAAUAAAAAUCAACUCCCGGUGCUGUAAUGAAUCACUGGAACUGUGAUGACACAAGUAAUGAUAUAGUUUUGCAUCUUAAUUUAUUGCUAUGGCUGGAACGAGCAAUUGUUUUGCCACUGAUUUGAUGCCACUCUUAAUGUAAUACGUAAUUAUUUCUACUUGUGCAAACAGGGAUCUUCUUUGAAGAUACCAUAUAUUUUAGUGGAACUGCACAAGAAGAUGUUGGAAACAUUAAACUAACCGCGGAGUAUAUAGUAAGCAUGGCCACCACAGUAGAUAGCAGCAGAUGGUUCCAGAGAAGUACUUCAUCUGUAUUCUCUACAAAUAAGCCUCGUGACAAAGGUUGGUACUCGCCCACUGAUUUCAUCCAUAUGACUGAGGUUUGUCAUCUCUAUUGGUGUUGUGCUACGGUUUAGACACUGUCAUGAAAAAGUGGUAUUGUCCUUGAGAAGUGCUUCAUCUGUGCUAUUUUAAAUAUUUCCUUUCCUUUUUUUCCGAGCAAACUGGGAUGCUAGCAUUUAGUUGUCCUCUUGUCUUUGCACAACGGGAUCAUCUUCCUCUGAAGAAGAAUAUAGAGUACGUGAAGUGACUAGUUCCGAUUAUGCCAGGAUGAAAAAGCCCUAUCUAUCAUCUCAUCAGAAGGAGCAGUUGAAGGAUGGUUACAUUACUCCCCACAAGACCAAACUAACUUCAGCUCAGAAGGACUGACAAAUCUCCAUUUUCUUGCUGUGAUGCGCGAGUACAAUGUUGUUCUAGGAUUCUUUGUGGUGAGUUCCAUUUUUCUAAAAGCGUGCUCUACAUGGACCAUGCAGGUGCAUGUUUAAACUGUCAAUUCAUAGUACAAUUUGCUUUAUACUAAUCACUUUUUUUGUAUUUAUUCAAACAGGGGUGCUCAGCUUGAUUUCAAUGGGAACUGCACAAAAUGUUCAUGAAUACAUCGAAUCAUUCAUUUCCACCACAAGAAAGGAGGUGCCGAUAAGUUCAAGGCGUUGCAACAUAUAAGGGCGAAAUCAUACAAGCUAUGCAUGAAUUUGGUUGAUUUUGGUGGAACUGCACAAAAAGAACAGCUGGUUUUUUAGCACAAAGAAUAGAUACUUUGACUGCAGACAAAACUUUGCAAACCCUGGUGGCAAACCCUGCCCAUUAUGACGGCAAUGCCAUCAGUUCCAUUUUGGUGGAACUGCACAAAAAGAUUUGUCAAAGUAUAGAUACUUUGACUGCAGACAAAACUUGUAUGCCGACUAGAAAGGACCGGAGGCAGUACAUGUGAAACUGCUGCAAACGAGGUGAUCACCCUGGGAAUAAUGCUAGUACGUAUUGUUUUGCAUGUUCAUCUAAUGCCAGUGAUACAGGAAUUUGAACUAAUCGAAAUAAAUUCAUUCAUACACGAUCGGAUUUCAUAUAAACAUGCCAGAUUUCAUUACAUUUCAUACAUUCUUCAACUAAAAAGGGGUGCGCUGGAGGUAGAAUUAAUUAACCGAAGCUACCACCUGUGUCCCGCUGAGCCGAACAGAAGCUUCAGUGACUUAACUGCAGGUGCAGUUGCGUAACUGACAUGUGGCCUCUUGGGCCCACGUGUUAGUCAGCAAACUGCACCAGCAGUUAAGUAGAAGCAGCAUUCUUGUCCAACACAGCUCUCCGACUCCACGUCACCGCCAAGAAGCUAACCGGCCGUGAAUGGUCAGCCCGCCUAGCUUGGCUUCAACCGGAGGGUAGCAGCGGUGGCCUUACUUGGACCUGAGCGGCGGCAACCUACCGUGUUCUACUCUUCCUCGUUUUCUGUGUGGCGCGGCCUCGUUGGCAGCGGGGCGGGGCCUCGGUGGAGCCGGCGAUGUCCUCUGUCUUGUUGCUGGCGGCGGCGCCUCGGUGUGGCGGUGGAAAUCCUCCCCCUCAUUGCCGACAGGGUGGGGCUUCGGUUGAGCCGGUGAUGUCCUCUGCCUCGUUGUUGGCGGGACGGGGCCUCGGUGGAGCCGGCGGUGUCCUCUGCCUCAUUGUUGACGCUACGGGGCCUCGGUGGAGCAGGGCCUCAUCAACGCCAGCGGAGCGGGCACUCGUCAGAGCCGGCAUUGUCCUCUGCCUCAUCCUUGGUCUCGCCAAACAGCGCCUCGCCCGCUUUAUCGCCCUCUUUGUAGGCGGCCGCAGCCUCCGCCACCCGCAUGCGGUACCGCCAGCGCUCGAGGCGGCCGUCGCGGGUGGAGCGGUAUGAGUCGAGCAGCGCCUCCUGCUCCUCCCACUCCGUGGAGAUCUGCUCCUCCGCCCGCAGGUGCUCCAGAGGAGAUGGUGGUUGUAGGCAGCGUCGACCUGCGCCUCCCGGAACUGCUCGUCAUGCAUCUACCUCACCGUGUCCAUAUAUUGGGCACGGUCCUCGCCGAUGGUCAUGGUGCAAGGCACCGGCGAGGAUGGCACGGAGGAGGGUGUGGGCGCUGGAUCGUCGACUACCAUUUUCUCCAUUGGGACAUCGUCGUCCUCCGGCUGCCUGUCGGCCAGCCGGUCGGCAGCAAUGGCUGCCAUCUCCUUGCAGUCCAUCUUCCCCCCAUCCGGAAGAGCGCUGGAGCGCGAGGAAGCCAUGUUGGGCAGUAGUGGUGUGCAUGGGAGAAAGGGAACAGAUGCGGAUGACUGCGACUAUGUCCGGCGUAGCAGUUUAUAUAGCAAUGGUGGGCGGCGGAGGGACGGACGUGUGGCGCCGGAGUAGCCGCCUCGGCAACCGAGUAUCAUUAAUGUGGGCGGAAGAUGGACGGACGAAAGGUAGUUGUGUCAUUUGAAGGCGGAGCAAUCGCCUGCACCGGGAAGCGGGGCGGGAGGCACUGACUGUUUCGGUCGGAAAGCGCGUGCGGGCGAGGAGAUGACUUUACUUGGAGAGGAUGACAAUGGGGACCCACCAGGGCCAUAGCCUCACGUACACAAGUGCCUCCUUAUUAUAUAUAUAUAUAUAUAUAUAUUUGCUUCCUCCUUGUUUCCUGACAUCACGGUCCCACACCAUUGUCAACAUAUGUAGUCAAUAAACAAGAGAAUUGCACAAGAAGCGGCCGACAGUUGGGACCAAACAGCUCGAGCAAUAUUUGUGUUUUUGAGGUGUGAGCACUGCACAGCUUUUCGAUGUUUAGCCCAGAUAUUAAUUUUUCUCCUCUGAACAACAACAAAAAACAUCGCUGCAGGCAUUAACUGGGCGGUCCGUGGCCCGUCUAGCCCAGGCCAGAUAUCCAGCCAAGAUAUUAAUUUUUUUCAAGCUGAAAAGGGCUAGCCACCUAUACUUUUUUUAGGAAUACCCAGGCAAGGUCAAGUUGUUAUUAUCCGUCCCGCUGGGCUGUAAAUCUUUCCUAUGAGGGAUGCAUUAGGCUUACUAAGAAAAUGAGCUUUAAGAAAUAAUAAAUGAGAUGUAAUUAUAAAAACUGGGCAGUAACUAUAAAAAAAUGCACCAAACACGUAAUUACUUUAUAAAAUAUUAUUUUUGGAUAUUGAAAAUUUUAAUUUCAUUAAUUGUUGCGAGCGCAAUGUGUCGUUGGAUUUUUACGUAAUAUAAAUUUAUAUGGAAAUUGUAUUUAAUCUGACUAGAAAUUUCGGGAUAAAAAUAUUUCUGAUGCCAUCAAAAUGUGGGAAAUUUUAUUGAAUUCUGGUUUGAACGGUUUGUUGAAAUGGGCUAUACUUUUAACAAACUUUAAAUGGGCUGUUGUAAAUUCCAUUGUAAUUCAAAAAUGGGAUGCACAUUCUUACAAAUCUCAAAUGGGCUAUAAGUUCUCUGCCACACACUUGUGGCCUUACUAAGUUGACGCGUCCCCUAAAAAAAGAUAGUUGACGCGUAUGCAAGGCUUUGUCAACUUAUAGUCAAUACAUGGUUCUAGUAGCAGUGGCCAUUGGAUGUCCAUCCAACGGAUGCCGUGCUUCUUCUUCAACUUCGGAUAUUCUAGCUUCACCCGCCCAAAAAAUGAUUCCUCCCCCUGACAUCUGGGGUGCACUGUUUUGGAAGCUGACCUGUGGGCCUAAUAAGUUGACGCGUACCAAGGGCUUUGUCAACUUAGUCAAUAUAAACGAUUCUAGCUGCAGUGACCGUAUGAUGUCCAUCCAACGGCCGUCGUGCUUCUUCAACCUCUAGUCUUCUUGCUCCAGCCACCCAAAGCAGCGCCGGUUGUGUCGCCUGCUCCUGCCUCCCGUGGCAGGUCGUGUUGCCUGCUCCUGCCUACCGUGGCCUCACCGUCCCCUACUACUCCCACCGCUAGCCAGGCCAUCCCUCCACUCACCCACGCCCCCUGUUAUUCUGCAGCGACGGCAGCCUCACACAGCAGCCGAACGAGUGAACCCUCAUACUCCUCUACGCUCACUACUAGGAAAAGGGCUAUAGAUGGAAUGGCCACUAAUGGCGCACCAGACAUAUGGUGCGCCACUACUAUAUAGCAGUGGUGCACCAUGUGCUGGUGCGCCAUUAGUGUGAAAGACACUAAUGGCGCACCAGACAAGUGGUGCGCCACUAGUAACAUUUAUUUUUAUUUUUCCAAACAUACAAAUGGCGCACCAGUGCACAGUGCGCCAUUAGUACUUCUAACUAGUAAUGGCGCACCGGCCGCACAGUGUGCCACUACUAUUGUUUUUCUUGUUCUUUUUUUUUGCAAAACUACGAAUGGCGCACCAUGGCAUAGUGCGCCAUUACUAGUUUAAACUAGUAAUGGCGCACUGUGCCACGGUGCGCCAUUAGUAUAUAGACUUUUUUUUUGCAAAACUACUAAUGGUGCACCACCUGCAGGUGCGCCAUUAGUAACCAGGGUUACUAAUGGCGCAUUUGCAGGUGGUGCGCCAUUAGUAACCUGGGACCAACAAGAUAUUUUGGACAGCCACACCUAACCACUCACUUUCCACACUUCAUUGUCUCCACCUCCUCCUCCAAGCUUGUCUCGGCUGCCUCCUCCUCCUCACCUCAUUUGCACCAUAGAUUCAUCCAAAUUAAGUGGUUAAAUUACCUUUUGUUGAUAGGUAAGUAAGGGCGGAAGCUAUCUUUAUGUUGUUCUCCCUCCAACAACGUGCACAAGCACUUUUUGUGGCCUAGCUAGAUCUAUGUAUGUUCGUGGUGUUGCAUAUGUUUGUGGUGUUGCAUAUAUUUUUGUGUUUGUAGGUACCAGUGUUUGAAAUGCGAUAGUUGCCAAUAUUUUGCCGGAAUGUUGAUUCAUUUCCAUUUCGGCGAGAAUUUUGGCACUAUGCAUUCUUUUUUGUCCUAUUUUAGGGAAAGUCAUGCCAAAUUUUUUCUUGGUUCUAAAAUAUCGUUUUGCUCUACCCCGCAGGUGACCACGGUCCGCACGAUGACCGAAGGCAUCGUGAAUAGGUUUUUGAGCUCCGCGAAGGCCGAGAUGCUUCAAAAGAACGAGAAGGAGAUAAGAUGUCCGUGUCGAAGAUGCAAGCUGAAGAGCCUUAUUGCGGACCCGGAUUCCAGGCAGGUGCGGGACCACCUACUCUUGCGUGGUUUCAUGGAUGGCUAUCGGUGGCAAGGUGAUGAAGAUGACUAUGAAGUCGUCCAUGGGGGGCGGGCAAGAAAUGAGGAACGGCAGCAAGACAACCACCGCGGCUCGGGCGGGCAAGAAGACGAAGAAUCUCCAGGACAUGAUCACGACGGUGAUGCUGUACACAGUCAUCAUGUAGAAGAUGCAGGACAUGAUGAUGAGGAAGAUGCCGGAGCAGACGAAGGGCAUGAUCAUGAAGAUGAAGAUGCCGGCGGAGCUGACGACGAUGGACCAUCGAUGGGCUGGGUGCAGGACCCUCAUAUUCAAGAGCUGCUUUUGAAGUAGACGGAUAACGCAAGAGCUGCCGCCCGAGAGAAAUACAAGCUGGAUCAACUGGAGAUAGACGCGGUUACUGCAUUGUAUGAAGGAUGCAGGCCCGAGGAUACCCGCCUGAAAGUAACGCUCAUGGCUCUGGAGAUGAAGGUAAAACACAAAAUGACCAACGCAUGCCUGAAAGUAACGCUCAUGGCUCUGGAGAUGAGGAUACCCGCCUGAAAGUAACGCUCAUGACAUUCUGGCGCGACCGUCUUCCCAAGGGGAACAAGUGCCCGACCAGUUUCGAGGAGGCGAAGAAAAUCGUGUGUCCUCUGUAUUUACCGCACGUGAAAUAUCAUGUGUGCAUGAACAAUUGCAUCAUUUAUCGGGACAAGCACGCGAAGUCUACCAUAUGUCCGGUGUGCAGUGUCACUCGAUACAAGAAGAGGAAGAAAGCUCCUCGAAAAGUGGUGUGGUACUUUCCGAUCACUCCUCGUCUGCAGCGGUAUUUCACGGACCCUAAGGUAGCAAAGCUCCUGCGUUGGCACACGGAUAGGGACGAGAAGAAGCCAGAAGAUGACGCAAAUGAUCCGGAGAUAAAUAGAAAAGACAAGAUGUUGAGUCACCCUAGACAAGAUGCAAAUCAUCCAAGGAACAUCGUGCUGGGCGCGAGCACCGAUGGAGUCAAUCCGUUUGGCAGCCAGAGAAGCAGACAUAGCACCUGGCCUGUGUUUGUGUGGAUGUACAACCUUCCCCCCUGGUUGUGCAUGAAGAGGAAGUACAUUCACAUGAGUAUGCUAAUUGAAGGGCCCAAACAACCAAGGAAAGACAUCAAUCUGUAUCUGGGGCUGCUGAAAGAGGAGCUAGACACGCUAUGGAAAACGCUAGCCAAUACGUGGGAUGCCGCACAGAAAGAAUAUUUCCCUAUGAGAGCCGCACUGCUCACGACGGUGCUCGACUAUCUUGGUUACGGAUAUGUCGCGGGGCAGGUGGUCCACGGAUUUACUGGAUGCGUUAGGUGCAUGGAUGACACAACAUAUCGCCAGCUGGAUAGAGAUCCCAGGUCUUCGAAAACCGUGUUCAUGGGACAUCGAAGGUGGCUUCGCGACGAUGACCCGUGGAGGAAACACAAGGAUCUGUUUGAUGGUGAAACCGAACCCCGAAGACGGCCGCGUACGAGGCGCGGCGAGGAAAUAGACGAGCUGUUGAAAAAUUGGAAAGAUUUCCCACUGCCGGGAAAGAAGCAAAAGGCGCCAGAGCUAGGAAAGAAGCGAAAGGCGCCAGAGCCACUGCUAAAGGUAUGGAAAAUGAGGUCUAUUUUCUGGGACUUGUCGUACUGGAAGAUCCACUGUGUGCCUCACGGCCCUGAUGUCAUGCAUAUCACGAAGAAUGUGUGCGAGAGUCUACUUGGUACCCUGCUCAACAUGCCAGAGAGGACCAAAGAUGGGCUGAAAGCAAGGGCAGACUUGAUAUCAAUGGGCAUCAGGGAGGAGCUUCACGCUAAUGAUGAUUAUGAUGAGGCGAAGCAGGACACAGAAAGUCAUCGCAAAGGCAAAAAGGCCAAGAAGACCGGAAAUGACUACCCUCCCGCGUGCUUCACUCUAAGUCAGGAGGAGAGCGAUCAGUUUUUCACCUGCCUCGUAGGAGUAAAUCUUCCUUACGGUUACGCGGGGAAGAUAAGCAGAUACCUAGACCCAGCGAAGCAGAAGUUCAGCGGGAUGAAGUCUCACGACUGUCACAUGCUGAUGACGCAGAUACUUCCAGUUGCAAUCCGUGGGAUCAUGGACGCGCACGUCCGUGAAAUGCUAUUUGGCCUAUGCAACUUUUUCGACGUCAUCUCUCAGAAGUCGGUUGGCGUGAGGCAACUCAGAAGAGAUCGUGGUGAUACUAUGCGAGCUUGAGAUGUAGUUCCCGCCCGCACUCUUCGACGUUAUGGUGCAUCUGCUGGUCCAUAUCAUGGAGGAUAUCAUCCAACUCGGGCCGACGUUCCUGCACAGCAUGAUGCCGUUCGAAAGGAUGAAUGGUGUCAUCAAAGGAUACGUUCGGAACAUGUCACACCCAGAGGGAAGCAUAGCCAGGGGCUUUCUGACCGAAGAGUGAAUCUCCUACUGCACGAAUUAUCUAGGCAUCGAGAACCCCGUUGGUCUGCCCGUCAACAGGCACCUCAGCAGGCUCGCUGGAUGGGGUCACCGUGAGGGUCGCUGUGAAAUGCAUGUCGACUUUGAGGGUCGACUCGCCGACUUUGAAAGAGCAAACCUAGUCACUCUACAACACAUAGACGUGGUCGAUCCUUGGGUGGUAGAGCACAAAACCUUUAUUGAGAAGACGUACAAUGACCGAGGCCAACAGAGGACAGAUGGAGAUAUAAUCAAAGAGCACAACUCAUGUUUCACGCGUUGGUUCAAGCAGAAGCUUCUGUCGUACCCUUUACAUGAGGAUUCUUCCGCGGAAGAACAACUCAUAUUUGCCUUGUCACAGGGCGCCGAGCACAACAUGAUGACGUAUGAGGCGUACGAUAUCAACGGCUACACAUUCUACAACGAGGGAAAGGACAUGAAGAGCGAUCGUUAUCAGAACUCCAGGGUAACGAUGGAAUCCUAUACUGGUAACGACAAGGACAGAUACUACGAAAGGAUCGAGGAGAUCUGGGAGCUGAGCUACGCUAGAGAGAAGGUCCCGAUGUUCCGUGUCAGAUGGGACAAGAACGUCAUAAAAGAAGACCGGUAUUUCACCACCAUGGUUAUACCCGAAGCCAAAUCCAAGAACCCGGGCGCAAACAUCACCGCGAAAAAUGAGCCAUGGGUACUGGCUUCCCAAGUGGACCACUGCUUCUUCAUUACCGACCCACCAAAGCCCAGUCGUGUUGUCAUGAGGAUAGGAAAAAGGAAGAUCAUCGGAAUGGAUGGAGUCGCCAAUGAGCAAGACUUCGACAUGUACGGGGACCCGAAGAUGGAACAUGACGAUGACGAUGAAGUAUCAGCAUACACCACAAGAAGAAGCUGGACCACCCUACCUUAAGGACGUCCGUUCAAGAGAAGAACUCCAUCUACGAAACAUAAGGGCAAGAAGAUUGUGAACAGAUAGCUAGCUAAGAUCGAUUGUAUUUAAAUUGUAGCCUUCAUUUCUCGACUGUAUUUCAUGGGCACUUUUUGAACUCAUGAAUGUUUUUAAAUUUCAUGGACACUCGAUCUCGACCCACCUCCAUCUCGAUCGCUAUCCCACCUCGCCAGAUCCGGUCCCCCUCGUUGCCGAGCACGACCCGCACCCUCUCCCCCACUCCACUGCCGCUGACGACCCACCGCACCCUCCCCCGCUCCACCGACCGCCGUCGCUGACGCCCCGCACCGUCCCCCGCUCCACUGCCGUCGACGACCCACCGCACCCUCCCUUGCACCACCGCCGCCGACGACCCCCCNNNNNNNNNNNNNNNNNNNNNNNNNNNNNNNNNNNNNNNNNNNNNNNNNNNNNNNNNNNNNNNNNNNNNNNNNNNNNNNNNNNNNNNNNNNNNNNNNNNNNNNNNNNNNNNNNNNNNNNNNNNNNNNNNNNNNNNNNNNNNNNNNNNNNNNNNNNNNNNNNNNNNNNNNNNNNNNNNNNNNNNNNNNNNNNNNNNNNNNNNNNNNNNNNNNNNNNNNNNNNNNNNNNNNNNNNNNNNNNNNNNNNNNNNNNNNNNNNNNNNNNNNNNNNNNNNNNNNNNNNNNNNNNNNNNNNNNNNNNNNCCGCACCCUCCCCGACCCGCUCCACCGUCACAAAUGAAUGCAACUAAAAUUGCAAAAAAAAAUUGAUUAUAUUUUCAAAUAACAAAUUUGAUGAUAUUUUCAAAUAAUAAAUUUGAUGGUAUUUUUUCAUAUUCAUAAAUAUUUUGAAAUAACAAAUUUGAUGAUAUUUUUUAAAAAAUUAUUACUGUUUUAUUAAAAAUUAUUACUAUUUCAUAUUCAUAUUCAUUCUCUAAAAAAUUAUUAGAUGCAACAAAAAAUAAUAAUAAUAAUAAAUUACUUAUGGCGCACCCCUAGCUGGUGCGUCAUUGCCAUAUAAAAAAAGUUUACUAAUGGCGCACCUCUGGCUGGUGCGCCAUUGCUAUAUAUAAAAAAGAUUACUAAUGGCGCACUGACCGCGGGUGCGCCAUUGCUAUCUGAAAAAACAUACUAAUGGCGCACCGCUGCGGGGUGCGCCAUUAGUAAGGUUCCCCCCUAGCUAACUCCUACCUCUCCCUCUCGCCAGAUCCCCGUCCCUCUCCCUCGCCAGAUCCACUCGCCGGACUCCACCCCCGCCGCCCCCGCGCCCCCGCGCCCCCCACCGCCGCAGCUCCCCCGCGCCGCCGCCCCUACAACCCCGUGCCGCCGCCCCCGCGCCCCGAGCCGGAGGAGGAGGACCAGGAGGAGGACCACGAGGAGCCCGCGUCGUCUCUCCGCCCCCCACCACAAGGAUCUCGCCGCCGCCCGCGUCGCCAUCGUGCCUCCUCGCCGCUGCUAAGGUACAACCCUCCAUUCCCCAUCGGGCCUGGCACUUCUCUCUCUCCCUCACCACUUCAUCUUCCACCUCCGGCCACCACCACGUCCAGGCCGGUGUGGCAGCGCGCCACCGCAUCUCCAUCCACCACUCCACACCCAUCCAACAAUGCAUCCACCAGCACCACCAUUACCAGCGACCACCGCCAUCAGCACUAGCACCACCUCGCGCGCCCGACCAGACGAGGGGAGGCAAGAUUGUCUAGUGCUCCACGCGAGUCUCUCCUCCCUGUUGCUCCUUACCACGCUGCUGGUCUUCCCUCUCCAUCUCUGCUGCUGCUAUUCCUUGCACCCCUGUGCUGCUGCCGCUGCUUGGUACUUCUCCUUUGAUCCCUUUGCUGCUGCUCUUCUUCUCCCACGUCCCCUGCUGCACCUCCACUCCUUCUCUCUACUGCUGCUCCUCCCCUCGUCCCUACUGCUGCUCCUCCUCCGCUCAAGUUCUUCAACUUGUUGUUGCUGUUUUUGUCUCUCUAUCUGAUCUCAAAUUUCUGUAAUCUUGAGAAGUUUAUUGUUAAGUACUUUGCAAUAUUCAGAAUUGAUAUGUGUAGUACCUGAAAUAUUCAGAUUUCAUAAGAGCUUGCAACUUGACAAUUCUUCAGUUUCGUACUCGCAAAAUAUAGUGCAUUUUAUUGUUUUUUCUGACUAGUUAAAGUCUAGUUGUUUGAAUUAUAUUUACUAUGUGUGAUAUGCUCUGUGAUAUAGUAAUCUCCUAGCAUAUGCGUGUGAUCCCCUAUGUGUUCGUUUCUUGACUGGUGCUUGUUUAAUACCACUCAUUUUGUUGAUCUGUGAGUACUAGAAUUAUGUCUUGUAACCCCCUGUUUGCAUAUGUGUGAUGUGUGUUCUGUAGUCCUUAUGUUAACUAUGUUCAUGCGAGAAUGUAUAUUUUUGUGUUGUGAUAUAUUUCUGUCCUUGUCAUAGUAUUGUUUCUACCCUUUGUUUACUUUCUCAAAUAAAACAAAAUACCAAAAUGACAGUGGGUAAAAUCUGAACCUCCCUUUGCUAUUUUUCACUUUCUUUGUGGAUUAUCUUCGGGAACAACCUUGUUUAGUUUAGGUUUAUUUUCUUGUAGCCAUAUUCUGAAAUCUUUCACCUAGCUUUAGCCGAGCAUAGUCGCCAUCGCCUAGUCCCUGUGGGGAACACGACACUUGCAGAUUUGGGCGAAAUACCCUACUGUACUUACAAUCUAUCAAUUUGUAUUGUAAAUAGAGGAGUGACUUCAUUCCUAUCUCACUGACAAACAACAGAUAGUGUUCAAUGAUCAGUUACCGCUCUGUUUUUUGGUAAAAGCCGCACAAAUAUAUCUGUCAAGGUGUUCGCGGUAGUGCCCAAACAACAGAUAAUGGGCUGUAGUGCUUUCUGUUCUACCUUAGUAUGAUGUCACUUAGCAUGGCAGAUUAAUCUGCCCUAUGUAUGUGUUUAAUUAUAUUCAUGGUUGCUUUAUGUGUUUGUUGAUUAUGCAGGUUCCCUGGCUAGGCCUCUGGGUGAGUGCAUCAUCGGUUCCUGCUGAAGCUGCUCCUGCUGCUUCCAAGGUUUGCUCCUACAUGUCCCUUUGAGAGCUUGAGCACUUGAACUGUGGCUUUAUUUGCCCCUUGAAGGCUUUUAUUGUUACGUUAAUAACUUCUAUAGUGGCUGCAUCAUGUGCUAUAAAUCCAGAUUGUACUUUAGUUCCAGAUUUCUAUGCAUGCCACCUUGUUGUGAUUAGUUAGGUUAGUUUAGUUCCAGAUGUCUAAAAUAUAAUGUACUUAUUGUUCAUGGUUGAUUGCAAAUUAGUUCUGGUGCCUCCAGUGGAGUAGAGUGUGGAGAGCCAAGAAGCUUUAUCUCUUUAAAUUCAGUUAAUUUCCUUACUGAAAUUAGGUUGUUGCCUUGAUACAGUAUUGUACAGUGGAAAUUUUAUUUGAUUGUGAGAUGAUUGGAUUUUGAAAUGUAGGCAUACGGUACUGAACUAUAGUACUGAACUGAACUAUAGUGAUUGUUUUUUUGAGCUCUUUCUUUUUCAUUUCCUACUAUCCUUAUCCUAAUUAUCUUAAAUUGUUAUGUUGUGUGUAACAUGAUUAGAUCUUGGAUUUGCUAGUGGACUUUGGGAGUUUCUUGGCCAGCUUGCUGACUCCAUAUUUUUCACUAUUUCAGCAAGUCUUUUGUAAGCAUUAAACUUUCAGCACUACAUUUUAUCUUAUGUGUACAUUUGUUUGCUUCCAAUUGCUAUAUAUGUAUUGUUGUUACUAAAAAUGAUGAAGCUCCUGUCAAUUUCUAUACAUAUAUAUGUGUAUGCUGAUCCUCCUUUCCUAAAAGUGAGAUUGCCAUAUGUAGUUCAGAACUGACCUAGCUAAGGUUGUUUUCCUACUGAAUGAUGAUAUUAUUAUGAUGAUAUUUUCCUACUGAUUAUAAUUUGUACCUGUGUACUAGCACUGUGUCAUAUUCUUCCAUUACAAGUAGUACAAGGCUAGUACUUGGAGUGCUACUCUCUUACUGCCAGUGACCGUCUAUCGAGGUCAUUAACUCCAACUCAAGUGGGCAUAAUUCUCUGCAGUAGUAUAGCACUUGCAGUACUAUGGCACUUUGAGUAGUAUGGUACUUGCAGUAGUGGUGCCUACGCAAGAUAUAGUUCAGAUUUGAUUAGUUCCGUAAAUUUGUAUGACCACAGAUUUGUAUAGUUUCAGAGAUUUGUAUGACCAAAGAUACAGUUCAGAUUUGAUUAGUUCCAUAAAUUUGUAUAGUUUCAGAGAUUUGUAUGACCAAAUAUAUAUUUCAGAUUCGUAUAGUUUUAGAGAUUUGUAUGACCAAAGAUACAGUUCAGAUUUGAAUUGUUUCAGAAAUUUGUAUGACCAGAGAUACAAUUCAGAUUUGAAUUGUUUCAGAAAUUGGUACGACCAAAGAUGUUGUUGUAUAUAAAUGGGCUGUUGUAGAACUGUUCUUCAUCUUUACAGUGCUGUUGUAUAGAAAUAUGCUGAAUUUUUUGCUUUGAUUGUUGCUCAAAGAAAUUUAGCAAAAAAUGGUGUCCUGGGAGACGCCGCUGCUGCUUGAGGCCCUUGAGAGGCCCUUCGUGUCGUGAUGAUUUUGCAGGUACCCCGAGAGGCCCUUGAGUUUGCCGGAAUGUCGAUUAACUUCCGUUCCGGUGAAUUCCGGUACUCUAUAUGUCCUAUUUUCAGCAAAGGUCAUGCUGAAAUUUUCCGUGUAUUUUAGCAUGACUUUGCUAAAAAUCAGACAGAUGGGGUACUUGCUACUAAUGCAUGGGCCGGGGUAUCUUAGUACUUAAUUAAGUAUGAUCAACUGCCCCUUUAUUCUUGCUGCAUUAAACCAUAGGUGGAAAUAGAGCGCAGUGAUUAGGCCCAAAUUAGAAUUUUCCUUAGCAUCGAUAAACCCUAGAUGAUAAACCCAACAUAGGUGGCAAUAGAGCCAAGUGAUUAGUGCAAAGUGAUUAGACCCAACCUAGGGUGCCUCGGCAUCGAUAAACCCUAAAUGAUGAAAACUUAACUUAGCAUUUAGGGUGCCUCGGCGUCGACAAACCCUAAAUGAUGAAACCUUGGCUUUUAGGGUGCCUCGGUGUCGAUGAGAACCGAAAUGAUGUACGCUUAGGCUCUUAGGGUGCCUCGGUGUCGACAAACCCUAAAUGAUAAAAGCUUAGCUUUUAGGAUGCCUCGGUGUCGACAAACCCUAAAUGAUGAGAACAUGAUCUUGUUCCUUGACAAUAACCAACUUCUUGACCAAUCUUUUUUCCUAUUUAGAGCGAUACAUGGCCCACAACGAUGAGGCCGGCGGUUUGGGCGGCAAGCAAUUCUCGGAGCUGUCCCAGGAGUUGGAGGAAGAACCUCACCCCUAUGAGGACGCCGCGGAAGACACCGAUCCUGACUACACAACACCUAGUGGCGUCGGGGAUGACACCACUGAUGGUGCCGCCGAGGAUGCCACCACUGAUGAUGGCGGCGCACACACAGAUGGCAGCCAACCGAAGAGGCAACAGAAGGACCGGCGCCCGAGCAUGCUUGCCACCAUCAAGGAGGAAUUCAGUGAAGUGGACUUUGACGGGCAUCCAACGAUGCCCAAAGAAUUAGUUAAGGGGUACUCGGUUAAGCUCGGGUGCAUUCUCUGGAGCACCGUCUCGAUCAACACCGAGAACCUAAGGCAUAAGGACCGAGGGAAUUUGCGCAGCCUCCUCUUCACGAAGCUGCACGAACAAUACAAGUUCCCCGCUGACUUUUCAACCACACGCCUCUCAGUGAAUAAAGUGAACAGUGCCGCCCUCACGAAGAUGAGCACGGCCCUGUCUACUUGGAGAAGCACGGUGAAGGCAAUGAUUGAAAAAGGUGAUAGUUAUGAGAAGAUCAAGGCGAAAUAUCCUUUGAUCAACGAAGAUGACUACAAGAGGUUCAAGAUCAAGUGCGAGAGCAGCGCAACCUCCGAAUCAAGUUAGUGGGGAAAAGAAAUGCGGGAGUUGAACUUAGGGGUCCACCAACUCGGUCCCGGCGGUUACAGGGUGGCGGAGCCUAUAUGGGACAAGGAGGACGCGGAGCGUGCCGAGCAAGGCCUACCGCCCCGCUUUGAGAAAUACCAUGACAGGCAGACCAGGAACUAUGUCAGGGCCCGGUACAAGGAGGACCCGAUAACAAAUGAGCUUACCACGGAUCCGAAGACCUGGGCGCUUGAGCUUGUUCUGGUAAGGAAUACACCCCCGCGUAAUUAGCUCCAUAUGGUUGCAUUCUAAUUAAUCCCCAAUAUUUCUAAAUGGUUCAGGUUCCUUCCGCAGGACACUAAAAGCAGUAGCUCGGGUUUGUCUCAGAGCUCCCCUUUCGACACCCCUUUAAAUAGGGCGUUGAACGUAAUGAAAAACAAGUAUAAGCUUAGUAAGCCGUCGUCAACCGGUCGUGUGGCCGGCAAAGGCUUGUCCACAAAAUGGUCAUCAUACUAUACCGCUGGUGGGCGAAAGGAGAAAAAGGCCAGCUCGGAAAGCCAGUCGGGCGAGGUUGAAGCACUCAAGGCACAAGUGGCGCCGAUUGCGGAGAUUAAUCAAGAGCAAGUGCAAGUACAACUGGGAACGACGCUCCGGUGGAGGUGGUAUACGUGUCUCCGGCGCCGGCACAGGCAUUGGAGUUUAACGCACCUGGGUGUACGCCGGCCGACACCUCGCCAGCAAGCGGCCCCUCCGUUAGUUGCACGCCCGCCAUUGGCGGUGCCUCGACAUUAGCCGAGCUCGACGGCAUCACGGUACGUAACUAAGCCUCUAGGCCGAUGACUUCAUCUCCUUGCCUUCGACUGGGCAUCCCUAACACCCUACAUGUUUCCGCAGGGCGCCGCCGACGUUCCUUGCACUCUCCUGCACUUCGUGGGCGACGAGUUGGUUGAUGUCGCCAAGGGCAGAAUCGUUCAACCGGGCAACCCCAUGUUCCACGGUAAUCCGACGCCACCCACAGUGUAUAGGGCUGAACUGGUUCGGGUGCUGCCAGGCUGCCACGAGCUGUUACCUCCAAUAUGACCCGCUGGGGCCGACGAAGAAGAUGAGAGGACCCUCAGCGCCUGCGUAAACUGGCCCCUGCUUUGGCCGAAGAUCUAGAUUCGUUUGGGGGCGGGGGACACCACCCCACAGACAAGACCGCCAGUCGUGCUGGCGCCAAGCCAUGGCAAGAAUGCCGCAACGCUACAGGACAUGCCGGACAUCCCUAUGGCACAGGAUCCGGACAUGCAUAUGGCACAGGAUCCGGACGACGACAACGACGACAGUACAUUUACCAACAUCGAUAAGUACUUUGCCGAAUAUGGGUACGGUGACGAGUUCAGCGGGCCUCCUUCUCAAGAACACAACCAAGACGACCGUGAUCUAGCUGGUACAGCGGAGAAAUCCAAUUGCAACAGGCAUCGUCUAGCGUUCAGUUCUCAGGAGACGCCUCGAGCUCCCGCCUUCACCGAGGCUCAGAUAGUUGAGGCAAAAUAUUAUCAGCCCCAACACGCUCAAGAAGGCGGUCUGUGAGCAAAACUCGGUCCCAUUACAGUAGAUCAAGAAGAAGGGACGAAAACGAAAGACUAACAAGGGCGCCCAUGCGAGCCAGCCGGCACCAAGUAUGAUCCGUGCUCAGGACGGGCCACCUUCACCUAAGGAUAUCUCGAGGAGGGUGCAUUUGGCGGGUAGGGCGAUGCUACUGACAAAUAUGCUCAAUGCUGCAACCGGUGCUAUGCGGAGUCUGCAUGACAAUGUUCUUUCUUUGGAGAAGAUGUGUCUCUCCCAGAAUGAUGUGGCAUACCCGGUUUUCCUGGCCAAGGUGCCAGAGGGCAAUGGCUUUAUGGAUGGCGCCAUCGGGGGUACGAUCAUCCUGCGGUUUGAUGACAUCUUUGCUAUGUUUAAUCUUCAUCCGCUGCACUACACCUUCGUUCGGCUAUUUUCACUGAGUAUGGCGAUGUGGAUCAUUCGAGACAAGACCCCAGACAUCGUGAUAGUCGACCCCUUCUACAUGCGUGCCAAGAUCUUGGGCAGCGCUGGGGACCGGCAAGUCGCGAGUUCACACCUCGAAGGCGUCAUUCUGGCAAACCCAGAUGAGGAUAACUUCCUCGUGCCUUACUUUCCCGAGUAAGUCAUCCCCUCACCGCCCCUGUAACAUAUGAUUUCUUAGAUUUUGAUCGUUCUUUUUUUUCUAACAUUUCGUGUUCUGUGCAGUGACACACAUUGCACAUUCAUCCUCUUAAGCCUGAAAUAUUACACGGCCACGUAUUUCGACCCGGACCGUGACUCCAAUAUAGACUACACAAAUAUCUAGAAAGUUCUUGAUGAUGCUCUCCCCGGCUACGCCACAUCUGGAGGCACCUUUAAGAGGCCAGUUCGUAGGUACAGCAGGCACAUGUUCACCCACAAUACGACGUUCCCCUACGUCAAGCAGCCGCCUGGCGGUCAGAAGGAUGCCAACUACACCCUCCAUCACAUGAGGGUGAUCGUACAGGACCAUAAUCACCUUCUGCUACCAAAUAAUGUCAAAGAUUGGGCCGCAAGCUUGGCGGCAAUCCAGGACAUGGAUCUCCGACAAGAAUUCUUUUGCAUCCAGUCGGAGUUUGCAGAAAUCAUCCAUCAAGAUAUCCUUCGUACCUCGGGGCAGUUCUACCUCAGAGAUCAACCGUCCAACAGUGAGAUAGACACAACGCUUCAAAUGCAGGCUGACAACGCCUGCGACUUCAUGACCAUCACGAAAGACGGCGGCUUCGUCCACGCUCCGAUCCCAUGAGUCGAGUCGAAAGUAGUGAUGCUAUUUGUAGUUAUGAAACAUUGAUUAGCUCAUAUUGUAAUUAAACUUUAAUGAACUUGUAUGUCUCUUUGGUUUGGACAGUCGUUCAGCUUAGAUGUAAUCGAUGCUAUUUAUUAGUAGGACCAUGAAUCGUGCUAUUAAUUUCUUGCUUUUCUCUUCCGAUCCUUUUGUUGCAUACUUAUAUAUUGCUUAUGUAUUGUCUGUUGUUUGGCUUGUGCAUAGAGAUGUCGUCAUACGUCAUGUACAAGGGUAAGGUUCCCGGAGUCUACGACAACUGGGAGGAGUGUCGGAUACAGGUUCACCAUUUCAGCGGUUUUACAAAGGGUACACCACUAGGGCGGAGGCGGAAUCAAGAUACACCCGCAAUCUAGCGGGAGAGAGGAGGGAGCGUUGGAGGAACCGGGUGAAGACCAGUUUCAUCGCGAUGAUGCUCAUCGUGAUGACCGCAGCUCUCUUCUAUGUGAUGGUAGUUUAGAUGAUCGAUAUUGACUUGUAAUGUGAAGACAAACUCGCUACUCACGGUCUCCGAGACUUGUAAUGUUCUAUCUUCGUUCGGUCUUUUGUAUUUGGAGACUAAUAUGAUGAAUUGUAUUCGGAGACUUACCUUCUAUUGUAUUCGAUGAAUCUGCUGUUACUGUGUGGUGCUGUCUAUAUACUAUCAAAUAAUAUAUUUUGUAACCUGUAAAAAAAUCAGAAAAAAACAAAAAAACCUAAUAUUAAUACUAAUGGCGCAUCACCCCACAGUGCGCCAUUAGUAUGCCAAAGGAUACUAAUGGCGCAUCACAACACAGUGCGCCAUUAGUAUGCCAAAGGAUACUAAUGGCGCAUCACACCAUAGUGCGCCAUUAGUAUGCCGAAGCACAUGGGUAUAUAUGGCCCCCUCGGAGGCAUACUAAUGGCGCAUGUUGCUCUAUACUAAUGAAGCACGACAUGGUGCGCCAUUAGUAUACCAGAUACUAAUGGUGCACCACUGGUGCGCCAUUAGUAUAUAAUACUAGUGGCGUGAUACUAGUGGCGCACCAGUAGUGCGCCAUUAGUAGGCAAAACUAGUGCGCCACUAGUAGGCCUUUUCCUAGUAGUGGCUUGUGCAUCCACUGCCGCGUCUUCCCCGGCUCCGUGUAGUCCCCUUACUUCCUAGGCCUCGCCGUUGUCCAUCGCCCUGGUGCUCUCGGCGCGGCUUGGUCAAGGUGGUCAAGGAACGACUUCCAUCGGAAGAGUACUAUACGUGGAGAGGCUGACAGCUGGGUCCAUGGCGGCCGCAAGGAAGUGCCUCCUUAUUAUGCGCAAAAUAAUUAUUCCUCCACCUGACAGCAGGAACCCAUUGGACGGGCCACCGUAUUUCAUGAAAAAAAUGUUCCCCCCUGACUGCUAGGACCUACCAGCUACAUCUUCGCACGCAAGGAAGUGCGUCCAUAUUACAGGCAGAAAAAUGAUUCACCCCCUGACUGUUGGGACCCACCAGCUACAUGUUCGCACGCAAGGAAGUGUGUCCGGGCAAAAAAAAAUAAUUCGCCCCCUUGACUACUGGGACCCACCAGCUACAUCUUCGCACGCAAGGAAGUGCCUGACAGUCGGGACUCACCUGGUCGAAGCCUACGUAGCGUUGUCAUUCUGGUCGCGAACGUGUACGUACAUACUGGUGGAUGUAGAGGCACACACGUGUCGUCGUAGAGGCGCGCAUGUAGCAUGUGCACUUAUGUACAUCGGCCAGUGUGCAAGAAAGAAAAAACGGUAACGUACAUACAUACGGGCGGUGUCUCGAACCCCUACUCGCGCAUACGUACGGCCUGGGCUUGUGUACAUGGCUGGGUCGGAACGGAGAAACUACGUCAUCGUCGUGUUCAUGGGGAGCCAACCGGCUGGGUCGGAACGGAAUGCAUCGUCAUGUUCAUCAGGAGGGCUUGGACGGAACAGGCAAUGUAAACGAGGCCUGGCAUACCGCAGAACGGAGGAAACGGCCUUGUGUUCGACCGGCCAUGUUCGAAACGGGAUCCUGUUCAUCGGGAGGGGUCUGGCGUACCGCAAAACGGAGAAAACAUACCUCGUACGGUGGAAACGGGGGUUCUGUUGAUCGGGAGGGGUGUGGCGUACCGCAAAACGGACAAAACGGACUUGUGUUGGAGCGCUAUGGUCGAAACGGGGGUCCUGCUCAUCGGGAGGGGUGUGGCAUACCACAAAACGGGACUCCACGGGAUACUGGUCAUUUCUAUCGUCGACGUCCUCCAGCCUCCACGGGCUACUGUUCAUCCACCGUUGACCUCCUCCAGCCUUCACCUGCGACUAUUCAUCCACGGGCUCCUGUUCAUCUAGCCUCCACCGUGCGCUACUCCGCCGGCUAUUGUUCAACCACCCCUCUCCAAGGGCUCCUGUUCAACCACCCCUCCAUGGGACACUGUUCAUCCACCCCUCCAUCGUCUACUAUUCAUCGAACCCUCCACAGGGUCGUCCUGUUCAUCCAGCCCUCCACGGAGUCCUGUUUAUCCAACCCCAACCAGCUUGAUCAAUCGGGGUCCUGUUCAUCCAGAGGCAACGCUACGGGGUCCUAUUCAUCCACCCCCACCGGUCACUAUUCAUCCACCCCUCCACCCGCUGCAACGCUCACUGUUCAUCCAGAGGCAGCAUCAAUCGGCUUCAGUUAGCAGCAAUAGCGAAGGAGUCACUCAAUCGGGUUCAGUUAACAACCAACGAUCGACCGCUCGGGUUCAGUAACACGUAGCCUGCAGUGCAAUCGCUCGGGUUCAGUUAGAGCCCAACGCCUUGCUCGGGUUCAGUUAGAGCCAACGCCUCGCUCACAUGCGCUUACGUGUACGAGAUAAACGCGCAUCCCUCGGCCCCGACCUCCCACCCUAAAUGGGAACUCGCCGAAAUUUUCCUCGCCCUCGUUUCUACCAUGGUUUUUUCUGUCAUGGACGGCCCAAAGAAUGUCAUGCAGCUGCGUCUCCGGCCUGCCCAGGACGAAAAUCCCAUUUUCUAUCAUGAUUUUUUGUUAUAGAAGUACGAGCCCACCACAUAUAUGAUGAUACCGGGUUUUGUCACAAUUAUCGUCAUAGAAGUGUCAUAAGUAUGACAGAAAAAAAUCAUUCGGCCCAAAAUGUCACGGAUGUGUCUUUUUUUCGUAGUGUAACAUGCGUCUACUUUUGAAAUAUACAUAAAAAAGGAAGUAAAACUUGUAGGAAAAAUUAUUGGAUGGUCAAAUAAUUAAUUCUUCUGGAAUGUAUGACCAAAUUAACACUACUAGGGAAAAGCCUAGCAGUAGCGCGGGUUUUUGGCCUACCAGUAGCGCGGGUUGCAGCGCUACUAGUAAGGCGCUACAACUAAACGUUAGCAGUACCAUGGGUGUACCCACGCUACUGUUAUAUCCACUUAGUAGUAGCACUACCUAGAAAGGGUGCUACUGGUAAUUACUAGUAGCGCUUCUCGCAGCCCGGGCUACUACUAUUAUUCCAUAUUAUAGUUCUUUUUUAUUCCAUCAUAAUCAGUUAUUACAUCACUUGGUGAAAGAACCGUGGACUAGUUUCAAGUGGAUGGACAUCCACUUGAAACUAAUCCGCGGUUCUUUCACCCAAUGAUAUAAUAAAUAUCAUCAUAAUCAUAUUAUUAACAACAUAUCAUUAUAAUACAUCAUUGUCAUAUAACACCUCCUCAUGAUCAUCAUUUUCAUCAAUGAGACAUCAUAUAGCAAGUUGGACACUAGUCAUAAUCACAACUCCUCCUCAUCACCAUCAACUCUAACACAUUGUACCACAUAAUAACACAUUGUACCUAGGACCUACUUCUCUCUCAUAGGACCUACUACCUUAUCUUAGGUAAAAUAGCAUAAAACAAGAUAGGCCCUGACUCUCCAUUAUGGUGAAUGGAUAUUAUCAUGUCUCCAAUUCUUGCCCUUCACAAAAUGUUGCUUCCAUAUAGCUCCCUACGAUUGACCAUACAUUUUUUCCAAUCUUUGAUUGUCAUGUCUUCAUCGGUUUUAGAAAACCGAUAUGGAUAGGAGUGAUUUGUAGGAUGACCUGGCCGUAUGUUCAAAACAUCAAGGUGACCUUUCUGAAACAUCAGAUGGGGCACACAAUCCUUCAAGAUUUUCUGUUGAAAAACAUAGUAACAACUUCGUAGUUAGCAAUGUAGUUCAGUUUUAGAAGAAUUUAUGCAAAAGAUGCACGGAUGUUGUAAUAGUAAAAAAUCUUACCAUGGCAUCUCCAUGGAUGUUAUCGUAGUUUAACACGUGCACAAGUGGAACAUAUUGACCAUAAUGUGGAGGAGUUUGAUAAUAGAUAUUGCAAUUCUCAAAUGAGAUGAGUAAUAAAUGAGAUCACAUGAUUUUUCUCCUGAUAAGUUAAUUUUGAGCCAUCGGUGUAGUAGGUGUUGUCUACCAUCUUCCGCACAUUCUUUGAAGAAUGAAAAUAAGAUGUCAAUGGAAAUAAGAUAUCAACUAUUUUUAAAUAAACAAUAUAAAUUACUUAAUAACUAUGCUUGAGAAACUCACAUAGCGGUAGAAUUGGAAGCGUAUCAACAAGGACCCAAAUGUCCAUAUUGUCUUGGGCGCUGUCAAGAUCACCAAGAUCCAUGGUGAGAAGCAUACCCUCAUGAAAAUCAUACAUCUUGCAAAGUGCUUCCCAAUUCGAGCAACAAAAAUGGGUUACACUCUGAGAAUUGUAUAGAUUUACUUCAAAAUCCAUACCAUGAUGGGUCCUUAGGUGAAUUUUCAUUGUCUUCAUACUUUCAUGAUCUUCAAAAUCCAUCCUCUCCAAGACAUAGCGUCUUGCAUGGCAUGGGAUAAGCUAGUAGUAUUGUAAAAGAAAAAAAAUUACAGGUUGAAGUAGUUGAAGUCGUGCUUAAUUAUGAAAAAAAACACGUCUCGUCAUUGCAUACCGUUUCAACAUCGAAGGUCUCCUGGAGCAUAAUGCUAAAACUUCGACCUUCAUCCAGGUGAGGCCUGUCUCACAGACCUCGGUCGUCGUUGCACCAGUCACACUCCCCAGGGAGACUUUCCUCUUCCGAUGACGACUUUUCCUAUGUUCGUAAUUCAAAGAUUAAACUUGUACAAUUAAAUAUAUGUACCACAAAAACUAAAUUAGAUCAGUAUUAUUCAUCACGGGUUGACUAUCGGUCUGCCCAGUCUUUUCUUGAAAACUCUCAGCUCACGUGGUGUAUAUAUUCGACCAUCGGUGAUGGUCGCUCCUCCCUUCGUCCCCGAGUGCAUUACACCAAAAUGUCGAGCGACUGAAAUUCACGGAAAAAUCCGGCAUGACCUUUGCUAAAAGAGGACAUAUGUCGCGCCUGAAAUUUGUUAGAAUGGAAAUUAAUCUACACUCCGGCAAAACAUAGGCCACUCGGAGGUGUAACCUGCAAACAUGGCCGGCCACUUGGGCAAACACAUAUCCUAUUUGAGCAACACAAGAUAUACAUGUCUAUAUCUACAUCAUAUGAGCAUUCAAACUUGAUGGUCAUUGCAUUUCAAUUGUUGAAAAUAUGAACAAAAACAUUUCAAAAUAUCUUAGGACUCAUAUUGACAUGGAGAUUUGACUGGUCUCACCUCGUGGUUGUAGGGGGUCGGUGAUGGGGACGACAGCGGGGAUGAUGGGGGGGCUCCUUGAUUUCUGCAACAACAAAAACCCUAUAAGCUAUCAACUAAUCAAAUGCAUACACAUUGCAUAGUGGGCUCCAAUUUGAGCAUUCAAAAUAGGAGUACUUCUCCUAUUUGAGCGUUCAAUAAGCAAAACUAAAUCAUCUCUUGCAUCCGUACAUCAUCGAAUAUUAUCAUUAAUACAUCUCGAAUAGUAUCAUACAGAUAACAUCACUAAUACAGCUAAAACCCUAGUGAACGACGGGUAUCCGCGCCGGCGGUGGACACCCAAAGAGAAGGAACCAUCAUAGGAUCAUAGCUCCAGUGAGAUCCCUGAAGAACCUACCAGGUGUUGGAGAACCUGCCCUCCAACGCAACCAUGUAGCGACGGACAUGCUCGUCCUCCUCGCUGACACGGUGACGUACCACCUCCGCGGGGUCCUCAAGCCUCCGCACCGUCACUGGCCCACGCGACCGCCACUAAAGAAGGUUCAGGUCAACGAUGGGCUGGCUCCUCACCAAGCUGCGCCCCCCAGAAGGUAGCACCUCCUAGUACCAGCCUGUCGGAGCCCGGUCCCAUACAUGGCCCCUCGGAUCAAGCAGGUGUCCUCCACCGAGUCGACGACGAGGAUGCGGCAUAGGCAUCAUCGACGCCGAUGCGGGAAUAAUUUCUUUAACUAAAAAAAUAACAACAAAUGUGACAUGUUCAAAAUAUAACAUGUCCACUUCAAAACAAAUCAACCUUGAAUACUGUUAAAUACACCUAAAAAUAAACUAGUACUAUUAAUUUUCUUACUAAAAAUAAACUAGUUCUAUACUAAAAUUUUAAUUAUACUAGUUCUAUUAGUUCGACUAGUUCAACUAAGCAUUUACUAUAAAUAAAAAUAAACUAGUUCUUAACUAAAAAUAAACUAGUUCAACUAGUUCUAUUAAUUUUCUUACUAAUUCUAUUAAACACUUACUACAAAUAGUAAAAAACCUACAUUAUACAUAGUAAAAAAACUACAGUAUAAAACAGAAAAAAUAGAGAUGGANNNNNNNNNNNNNNNNNNNNNNNNNNNNNNNNNNNNNNNNNNNNNNNNNNNNNNNNNNNNNNNNNNNNNNNNNNNNNNNNNNNNNNNNNNNNNNNNNNNNNNNNNNNNNNNNNNNNNNNNNNNNNNNNNNNNNNNNNNNNNNNNNNNNNNNNNNNNNNNNNNNNNNNNNNNNNNNNNNNNNNNNNNNNNNNNNNNNNNNNNNNNNNNNNNNNNNNNNNNNNNNNNNNNNNNNNNNNNNNNNNNNNNNNNNNNNNNNNNNNNNNNNNNNNNNNNNNNNNNNNNNNNNNNNNNNNNNNNNNNNNNNNNNNNNNNNNNNNNNNNNNNNNNNNNNNNNNNNNNNNNNNNNNNNNNNNNNNNNNNNNNNNNNNNNNNNNNNNNNNNNNNNNNNNNNNNNNNNNNNNNNNAGGUGGAGGGAGGAGGGGGCGGCUGUAGGACGAGGGAGGAGGGCGCGGUGGGAGGACGAGGGAGGGGAGGAGGGAGGAGGGAGGAUGAGGGAUGGAGAGAGUACCUCGAUGGAGGAGCAGCGCGGCAGCGGCGGUGGACGACAGGGCGUACGGGGGAGAGUGACUGAGAGGGAGAGUGAGUGAGAGGGUCGUCCGCGUGGGGAGGAUAAGGUAGUGUUAGUAGUAGCGCGGGUUCGUGAAAAGCGCUACUGUGAUGGAGCAUAACAGUAGCGCUGGGUAGGGGUACGCGCGACUGCUAAGUGGGGCUAGCCAUGUGCGCCUGGUUCAAACUUAGCAGUAGCGCGUUUUGCUAGAACGCACUAAUGCUAAAAUGAUAGCAGUAGCGCGGUUUAUUUACACGCACUACUACUAAGUAGCAGUAGUGAAAGAUUUUGUGCUACUGCUAGAAGUGUAAUAAUGAAGUACUUGAUUAGACUAAAGCUUCUACUGAACCCUCUCAGGUAAACACCAUGAUGGUGUUGCAUCUACCCUUAUAUGCUUAUGUCUGGAACAAAUGCUCUGCUUUCAGAUUUAUCUCUAUAACAAAUACACUAUUCGAGGAAAUGUUAGAGUUUUCCCCGGAUUUAAAUUUUAUACUGAAAUAUGUAAUUUUGAUUAGCAGUAUAAGGGUCCGUAAUAUCCCAUUCAAGAUAUGUAUUGACAGUAACGUGAAAGGCGCUCUCAUAGGUGUGUAAUUUAUGAUCUUAAGAUGCUCUAUGCGCUUGUGGUUCCAUGAGUUUAUGGAAAACUAGUUGUUAGCUAGUUUUUGGUAAAAUCCAUUUUGUGAGCAGUUUUGUGAAUAAUCAGUAUAGGAAAAAUAGUGUUUGGGAUUAGGAAACUGUAAAGAUGGACAUGCGAUUUACAAGUUUAUAGGAAUUGUGUUUUGUAUAUACUAUCUAUCCUAUCAACCCUAGAUAAGUUGUGAUCUCUAUAAUGUCAUCAACCCUAUUAAGUUUUGUAUAUACUACAGUUCUGUCAUGUUUGGACUCCCGACAGAAUCAAGGUAGUUGUACACUUUGUACUCUGUGCAUGUCACACACACCAUGAUUAUCUACUCAUUGUUAAGUGCUGAGUAUGUGUUGGGAAGAUAUCCAACUAGUUGGCUUGAUAUCGGGCACAUGCAGGCAGUACUCCAAAGUCAACCAUAAAUCAUGAUGGGAUCAAGCUUACAUAAACAAGUAUUAUCAUGCAUGUUCGUAUGAAAGUCCAGUAUCAGCUAUGAGAUCAUGAAUGGCAAACUGGAGGGGCUAAUUUAUGAGUGCGUGUGCUUAUAAAUAGGAUGUCUAGCUAGCUAGUACUCACAUCAACACAACCAAGAAAAGAACUUCCAUUUUUCUAGAUAGAGCUUUGAGCCGCAACAUCAGCCUUCCACUCUUGCAAUGGCCUCCAGCUCCGUGCUUAAGAUGGCCGCCGUUUUCAUGCCGGCCCUAUUCGCUAGCCAGGCGCUCAUGGCUACGCCGGUGAUAGCAGAAGAACUAGGUAACCGGCACAACCUUUUGGAGAAGUAUGAUGAGACGCAAUGUCGCGGAUACGCCACAUGCAAUAUUGUAUGCUUCUACCAAGUUUUUCAAGUCUGCAUCAUCUACAGCCCUGUUGCAUUCUGCAACACUUGGGCGUUUGGGUUCUGCAAGGACAAGAGAUAUUGAGGCAUAAAUGGAAGUGCAGCUCCUUUUGGGAUGCAUGCACAACUACACGAACAACUCACCUCAUCAGUGUCAACUAUUGUUCCUUGGUUAUUGGCGUUGUGCGUUGUAAGAGUCCUAAUAUGUUCCUCCCUUUAUUUCCAGCUAUCAUGUAUCAGGGGCUUAACCAACUAUUUAAUUACUUCAUUGUCUGUCAUCAUGGUACUUGUUUAACUAAAAAUGCUCCGUCGGAUACAAAUGUAUGUGUCGUGUGAUUACAAAAUGGUUCCGCCGCUGCACCAUUUUUCGGUCCAUCAUGGCCAUAUAAGCAUGCUCUUUCUACCCAUACCCAUAAAUAUUUUUUCAUGAAUGACCAUUUGUUUGACAGAUUUUGGCAUGUGGUUCGACAAAAUGCCAUAAAAAAUAAAGGAUGCAAAAAUAUGAGGGAGCAUGAAGCUGAAUUGACACUAACCUUGUAAAUAUUUAACGUAGUAGACAAGAAAAAUACUACACAGGCCAUCACCACACCCAGUUUCGCUAGCUCAUCACAGAUGAUGCGAUGUUUGACAACAUAUACAUUUUAAACGGACACUCAAGGCCCAUACGUUGACCAGCGUUGCCUCCGUGUUAAUCCACGCCCACAGGGUACGAAAGUUUUUCGUCUGUAAGUCCCUAUCAUGUGGAACCCACGUCAGCUGUCAUGAUUGCGUCGGCUUUCAGCGGCCCACCCAUUGAGGUCGCCUGCCGACACUCUCUAGUAGUCAUCCAGGUGCUUGGGUCAUCCUUCUUCUGGCUAGAGUCGAUUUGGCAUCGAUCCUUUGGUCAUUUGCUUCAAUCCCCCAAGAGCGUCUAUCACUGCCCCUACUGCAGAUGCUACCGAAAAGAGUUCUGGAAUUGAGCGAGCAUUUUCUUGGACUAUCCUGAUCAAACAUCUCGCAUGCCUCAUUCUACCUUUGAAAACUGAAAUUUUAUCCAGGUACGAUAGAUCCGUGGGGAGUCAUUCCUUUGCCUCAGAAACCCGCAAUUCCCAGAUAGAAAAUCAUAUUUCCCGCUCCUCUAGUUUCUUAAACAAGCUCUAUUUCUUUUUCCAGCAGGGAUACUCCCAAAAAAGGGGCUUCCAUUCAAAGUGGAAAAAAAGAGACCGGUUUGUUCUCCCUCUUGGCCUAGCGGUUAAGUAGAUUGUAGGCCCCCUCCCAGGCCUCGCAACCAAGAGCCACUUGUCGACAGUUGACCAGGAAGACAAUAACUAUCGAGGCUAGAAUAGAUAGAUGAAACUCUAAAAUGUUUCACCUUCUUCUAUGGUCAUUCUUAUUUUCAUGAAGUUGAAGUUGUGCUCGCACAUGUAAGCUUCAUCAGGUUUGUGGACAUCACAACCCCCAUUCUCCUCUAUCUCUUCAACAUGCAAGCACUUCGUUAGGGCCGGUGUUUUAAUCUGACUAGCUCGAAGAGUCCCCAGAUGACCUCGAGUUGCUCCUGGCACCUUGCUAGGCAUGAUCUAUGGUUUUCUCCUCAUUCACAGUGAUGUCAUAAAUGAUUGGGACCAUUCACCUAGAAAGGAAAAUCAUUGAAUGGUAGUGAGCAAGGAGUUGGGCGUUUCUUAACUUCCAUUGCCAGAGUGGUUUUUUUACACCAGGGAACGUUCCACUUACUGUGACACCCCAAAACUUUGACCCUGUUUUAUUAAUUAAAAUUUUGCCAGGAAAUUAAAUUUUUUAUUUUCUGGGCUCCCUUUUGAUUUUUGAACCAUUUUUUCCCUCUUGUUAUUAUGGAGUUUUACCCAAAAAGAAAACCUUUCAAAUAUGUUAUUGGGCUUGUUUAACCUCUCAAGAAAAACUUUACUUUUCUUAGUAGAGCUAAUUACAUAAUUUAUUUGCUUGAUCUUUAUUUUCUUGAAAAAUGGUUUUCCAAGGUUAUAUGGCCAUAUUUGAACUACAACCAUUUGAUAAAUUCACUUAAAAUUCCAACCAAAAUUUGGAGAUGUCAGGUGAUGUUUUUAAAUCACUUUUAUGCAAAAAUAUCUUUUAUUCAUGAAAUAUUUUUAGCUCUACACCCAAUUUUCUUCUCUGGUCCAGUGGGCACUUUUGCACUACAACCCAUUUAAAUAUUUCUUUCUAGCUUCCACCAAAAUUAUGGGAUGUUAGUAGCAGCAUAUGUUUGAACUUUAUGCAAAAACCCAGUGAUGUUCUUUGAAAUUUUUGAGUGAAUCAACCUCAUCUUCAUUCUGGUCCAACAUGAUGGGUGGUACAGCAUCCGUAUUCUUCCUUGCUCUUUGGCCCUUGAUUCUUUCCCGUGCUUGUAGACCACCCUACAAAACCCCUAAGUCAAUGAGAAUGCAACCAUUGGAAUAUUUUUGGUCCAUGAGAUGAUGCCAUUUACCUCCUGUCCAGAAUUGAAGUUUUGCAAAACUUGCACUAGCAAGUUUGUGCUUUUCACAAACUAACCUCACCACCCUCUUGUUCAUCUAAAGAGACUAGGAUCUGGAAGAUUUGGCCACUCCAAGAAAAGCCUAGGUGCCUGUGGCAUUUUUUCAAACACCUGGAGUGCAUGGACAGUAUUGGCAUGAGUUUUUGUUUGCAUUAUGAACUUGGUCUCCUGACCUAACCACCUUGUCCCUUGAUCUCCCCACUAUCAAUAACCUAGUCAUGUUGCUUUCCAACCUCGCCCGAGCGCUCUGGAGUGCCAUGGCAUUUCGCCGAGCAGCUGGUGGGCGUGCACUGGGCGUGCCCAGAGCGCGCCAACUGCAGCCGCACACCCGAGCCGCCGCGUCGCGCGUACUCCAUGCCCCUUGACACUUGGCCAUCCGCAGCCAGCACGCCACGUAUCCUCCUGCACUGCAACGCCACCCCGACCACCCCUGGCACCCCACAGUGACACCAUCAGGUUGGCCGUGGCGGCUAGCUGACGGCCGCAUUCAGGCCCCGGCCGUGUCGGCGCCGCCCGAUCCACCCCGGCUCGCCACCUGUCCCUGGGAGCCGCGCAAGCUUAUCCCCUCGCUCUUCGGCUAGCUCUCGUCGCCUCCAUGUCACCCUGCAAGCUACAGAACGUCGGUUCGCCGGCGACCUUAUCCUCGGCCGCGGAACCGCGAUUGCCACGCUAUAUAAGAAGCACCCGAGCUCGUCCAGGCCUCACAUAGCCUCUCUCACUCCCUCACCGACCCACCCAUAGCAGUACGAAGACCAAGGAAGUCGUCUUCUUCCUCUCCGGCAACUCCUGCCGCCGCCACUGCCCCGGCCAUUCCGGCGCCACCAGGACCUCCCCCUCUCCACUCUCUUCACCAGGAGAUCUUCCUCCCUCUCGUGAGUGCACCCCACGCUCAAUUUUUCGUCGGGAACCACCAUAGCCCCGGCCCACAAAUCCAAUCGAAGCCGCCAUCCGCCGCGAGGCUCGUCGCCGACGACUCCCUCCAUCCCCGUCACUCCCUCGACCACCGGAAGAACCACCCCAGUCUUGCGGAUCCAUCCCCACCCUCGGGGGCCCGCGAGGAGCCACCUAACGCCGGUGACGAUCGCCAGAGCCCCCGCCUCUGUUCGGCCAGAGGAAGAAGAGGGGAGGGGACUGGUCAAACCUGACCAGUGGGGCCCCUGGACCCACUGUCAAGGACCCAGCCCGCCUCCACACGUGUUUAAGUGAAGGCGUAUAACUCCCCAGUACGUUUCCCCUACACCGAAAACGUAUUCCGUCUGAAGCGUUUUCUUUUAUAUCAUUUAAAAAAAACAGAUUUUUACCAGGACUUUGACUGGCUAUAACUUUUUAAAUAUAACUCCAAAUGAAUUGAUUCUUUUUCCUACAUCUCUCAAAUUCUGUCUAGUUUUUCUUAAGAUUUAUUUAAAAAUUGUUCAAACAAUUUUUUUGUGCUGUUUUGAAAUUGUGUGUUAAUUCCAAUAUUUUCAAAAUAGGAUUUUGGGGAGAGGAGAAAACUUUCAAAGUUUUGGAAUGCACCCUGACUCUCCACACCUUGAAGGCAAGCAUCCUGAACCAUGGCAUAAUAUUUUUGGUGUGUUAGUUGACGUGGUUAUAACACCACCUUACUUCGGAAAAACUCGUUAUUUUAUGUGGUAAUUUGAUCUUUUGCAUGAAUGCAUAUUAGUGAUUUUCCUUGCCGUUGGAAAUGAAUAUACUUAUGAUGGUAAUCAUCCUCAUGUGCCUUGGAAGGCCUCUGCCUUGGGUAGGCGUGAGCUUGUCGCCGGUCUCCGUUGGGACGGUUAUGUCCGGUAUGGCAUAGUAAGGUAUAAUGAGCGGUGAUCCUGUUGAUUGAAAUAUGUUUGUUUUACAUAUCAUGCAGGUAAUACUUAAGCCUCCUGAGUUGGCCAUAGAUAGAGUCUUGUUCCAGUAACCCCCAUAAUUCUUUCGUGCUGCCACUUAUACCUGCCGUAGGUAGGGUAUGGUUCAGUAAGUUGUCAACCCUUGCCUUGGCACACACCGUACGGAGAGGCCAUGGUGGAAGAUACCGGCUGCAUCCGGUAGGCAUGCCACCUGGUCCGGGAGCAUGGGUGUUUCCGGUUGGGACCGAGAGGAGGGCACCCCUUAGAGCGCGCGAUAGAAAUUUGAUCCUUUGCUACGCGAGGUUGUAGCCUCCCCACUUAGAGUUUUGCUUAACAAGUGUCGUGGGUGAUUCCAGACACGAGUAAAGUUAAGCUGGUGUGUGCAAGUCAGGCGUGUUUUCGACUAAAAGACCGUAGACGGAAUUAGUCCCGAUGGACUAAAAAAAUCCGUUACUCAUGGGUAAAGAGUACACCCUCUGCAGAGGUAUUAAACCUAUUCGAAUAGCCGUGUCCAUGGUUACGGACUACAGUCUCGGUCGGGUCAAGUGUCGGUCUUAGUGUCGGUCUCCGGAGGAGAAACUGCUAAACCAGAACAUGGAUCAUGAUUUGUGACUUGUGUUGAUUAUGAUGAUUAUGAUUAGUUUUUUAAUCGUGGACUAAAUAUUGCCAUUACUUGAUUUAUUGAGUAUCCCUGGGACGGUUCUACCUCCUGGAUAUUCACCAUAAUCGUUUUCUUUUUAAGCCCUUUAUGUGGCGUCGCACAGACGCCCGACUGUGGCAUGUUUGUUAUUUAUUUUAUAAGCCCUUUAUGUGGUGUCGCACAGACGCCCGACUGUGGCAUGUUUGUUAUUUAUUUUAUAAUCCCUUUAUGUGGCGUCGCACAGACGCCCGACUUUGGCAUGUUUGUUAUUUAUUUUACAAGCCCUUUAUGUGGCGUCGCACAGACGCCCGUCUGUGGCAUGCUUGUUAUUUAUUUACCAUAUAAGCCCUUUAUGUGGAGUCGCUUAGACGCCCGACUGAGGCAUGCUUCAUAUCAUGGCCCUUUCGAGGCGUCGCUUUAGACACCCGAUCGGUGCAUGUAAAUUCUACCCCAUUAUUGCAUAUCCAUGUUGCAUAUAAAUAACCUGCUUGCAUGCAUCAGAGAUUUUAUUUUAUGACUGAUGAUGUGAUCAUAGAAUGUUUCAGCUCAUGAUCAUCAUUUAUAUUAUACCCGUGUUCAUAAUGUUUGCGAGUACAUUCAAAGUACUCACUGGCUUGUCCCUUGCUAUUGUCUUGGCUAGAUUUCUUACAUGGAGAGGAGCGUUGCGAUGAUAGCCCCGGAACCUAAGCAAUGGUGAUAGCAGCCUCGCGAAGAUAGGAGUUAACCUGGUCAGCUGUUCCUGUGGGAAAUGGAGUUCCAUGGACACUGAUGAUCCACAAAUCGCUUCCGCUAUCAACCACUAGAAAACAUUUGAUGUACUCCUAGGCCGGAAUGGUCUUGUACUACAUAUUAUAAAAUGUUGCUUGGAAUUUCUGUAUCAAGUUGUUGCCUCAUCAGCUAACAGUAAUCCUGGGGCUGGUGAGCACAAGGGCCAUUUUCUGGAAAUUAAUACCCGAAAAACCGGUCGCAACAAACUUGGUAUCAGAGCCAGGCUGACCAUUGGCUAAUCCUAUUUAGCCAGGUCGAAAAACCUAGGAAAAACCAACCCACCAGACCCUAACCAAACAGCAGCCAAGCUUCCCGUGCAAGAUAGCCACACAGUGACCCCGACACUUUUGGCAGUCGGUGCCCAACCCAUCAGCCUAGCCUGUCGAUCACCCGCCAGUGACCGACACAUAAUCUGUCUUAUUCGCAAGCGUGCGAAGGAAGACUCCGUUCCCUUUUUCUAUAAAAGGGCAUGCUAGCCUCAACACAGCACAGCCCGGCCUCUUCCUCAAACCAAGUUAUAAUGCCUGGUCCCGUCGUGCACAAUGAGACCACAGCAAACAACCUCGGAGGUUUUGUGACCGUGCUAGCAAACCUCACAUGCCGUGCCUAUGCAUUAGAAGAACCCCCAGAAUAUGUAGUGUACCAAGGGUCCGUGAGCGGUGAAAGCCGUCAAUUCUGGGCCAAAGUGCACAUCUAUGGUAGGGGUCUGUCGCCAGAACGCCCCUACAGGUUCACCGGAAGGACAACUUCCUUUGAGCCACAAGCCAUCCAACUAGCCGCUCGAGAAGCUAUAGUUCAACUCCGCCAUUUGUCGCCCAGAGUUAACUGUCGCUCGUUCUACUACUACCCCAGCAGUGACGGAUAUGGUAGACCACCCCAAGUUGCCAACGGAGAUCACGAGACGGAUCCUGCUUUAUUGCAUCUGGUGCGCUAUGUAAGUGCACUAGAGGAUUUGUUCGAUCAAAUCACCAUUAAUCUGAUCGCAGCUCGUGGCGAACUGAUUCGCCGAGCCCCAACUAGAGGAGAAGAUGAGCCCGACGCUGACAACCCAGUCGUGUUGUUCGGAUAACCAAUCGAGACCGUGAGGUCAGCCCCGGCCAUCAACCAAGGUGCCUUGAUGACCCCAGAAGUAAUUCGUCGCCUUUUGGAAACGCACUCCAACGGGAUUGUGGCCAACAAUCCCCGAGAUGGUCAUCAUCGCUACCCCGACCCUGCAGUUCCUCAACCCCUUCCAGCUAAUCCCGACGGUGAAAACCGUGGAGAAACCUCGACGUCCACGAGGCAAGCCCGAUUAGAUAUUAACGAGGUAGACUAAAGCCGCUCGAGUAGUACCGAGUCUCAAUAUAUCCUCGUCUGGUAACUGUGUGAUCCUGUACCGCCAUCAUUAAAUGUUGUUUGAUUGUGUGCCCCUGUUUUUAAUAGUGGCCAUACAUGAGUAUGUUGGUGUACGAUUGCAUUUUUUUUAAGCCGGGCGUAGUUGCCAACCGCGACGACACAAUAAUUUGUGCUAUAAAUAAAUUUUUAGUUUCUACUAACAGGAAUGGUUCUUUCCAAACAACUCUUAACAAAUCUCGAGGACGAGAUUUUUCUUAAGGGGGGUAGUGUUGUGACAUCCCAAAAUUUUGACCUUGUUUUAUUAUUAAAAUUUUGCCAGGAAAUUACAAUUUUUAUUUUCUGGGCUCCCUUUUGAUUUUUGAACCAUUUUUUCCCUCUUGUUAUGAUGGAGUUUUCCCCCAAAAGAAAACCUUUCAAAUAUGUUGUUGGGCUUGUUUAACCUCUCAAGAAAAACUUUUCUUUCAUUAGUAGAGCUAAUUACAUAAUUGAUUUGCUUGAUCUUUAUUUUCUUGAAAAAUGGUUUUCCAAGGUUAUAUGGCCAUAUUUCAACUACAACCAUUUGAUAAAUUCACUUAAAAUUCCAACCAAAAUUUGGAGAUGUCAGGUGAUCUUUGUAAAUCACUUUUAUGCAAAAAUAUCUUUUAUUCAUGAAAUAUUUUUAGCUCUACACCCAAUUUUCUUCUCUGGUCCAGUGGGCAAUUUUGCACUACAAUCGAUUUAAAUAUUUCUUUCUAGCUUCCACCAAAAUUAUGGGAUGUUAGUAGCAGCAUAUGUUUCAACUUUAUGCAAAAACCCAGUGAUGUUCUUUGAUAUUUUUGAGUGAAUCAACCUCAUCUUCAUUCUGGUCCAACAUGAUGGUUUGUACAGCAUCCGUAUUCUUGCUUGCUCUUUGGCCCUUGAUUCUUUCCCCUGCUUGUAGACCACCCUACAAAAUCCCUAAGUCCAGGAGCAUGCAACCAUUGGAAUACUUUUGGUCCAUGAGAUGAUGCCAUUUACCUCCUGUCCAGAAUUGAAGUUCUGCAAAACUUGCACUAGCAAGUUUGUGCUUUUCACAAACUAACCUCACCACCCUCUUGUUCAUCUAAAGAGACUAGGAUCUGGAAGAUAUGGCCUAUCCAAGAAAAGCCUAGGUGCCUGUGGCAUCUUGUCAAACACCUGGAGUGCAUGGACAGUAUUGGCAUGAGUUUUUGUUUGAAUUAUGAACUUGGUCUCCUGACCUAACCACCUUGUCCCUUGAUCUCCCCUCUAUCAAUAACCUAGUCAUGUUGCUUUCCAACCUCGGCCGAGCGCUCUGGAGUGCCAUGGCAUUUCGCCGAGCAGCUGGUGGGCGUGCACUGGGCAUGCCCAGAGCGCGCCAACUGCAGCCGCGCACCCGAGCCGCCGCGUCGCGCGUACUCCGUGCCCCUUGACACUUGGCCAUCCGCAGCCAGCACGCCACGCAUCCUCCUGCACCGCAACGCCACCCCGACCACCCCUGGCACCCCAUAGUGCCACCGUCAGGUUGGCCGUGGCGGCUAGCUAACGGCCGCAUUCAGGCCCCGGCCAUGUCGGCGCCGCCCGAGCCACCCCGGCUUGCCACCAGCCCUUGGGAGCCGCACAAGCUUAUCCCCUCGCUCGUCGGCUAGCUCUCGUCGCCUCUACGUCGCCCUGCAAGCUACAGAACGUCGGUUCGCCGGCGACCUUAUCCUCGGCCGCGGAACUGCCAUGGCCACGCUAUAUAAGAAGCACCCGAGCUCGUCCAGGCCUCUCUCACUCCCUCACCGACCCACCCAUAGCAGUAGGAAGACCAGGGAAGUCGUCUUCUUCCUCUCCGGCAACUCCUGCCGCCGCCACUGCCCCGGCCAUUCCGGCGCCACCAGGACCUCCCCCUCUCCACUCUCUUCACCAGGAGAUCUUCCUCCCUCUCGUGAGUGCACCCCACGCUCAAUUUUUGGUCGGGAACCACCAUAGCCCCGGCCCCCAAAUCCAACCGAGGCCGCCAUCCGCUGCGAGGCUCGUCACCGACGACUCCCUCCAUCCCCGUCACUCCCUCGACCACUAGAAGAACCACCCUAGUCUUGAGGAUCCAUCCCCACCCUCGGGGGCCUGCGAGGAACCGCCUAACACCGGCGACGAUCACCGGAGCCCCCGCCUCUGUUCGGCCAAAGGAAGAAGAGGGGAGGGGACUGGUCAAACCUGACCAGUGGGGCCCCUGGACCCACUGGCAGCGACCCAGCCCGCCUCCACACGUGUUUAAGUGAAGGCGUAUAACUCCCCAGUACGUUUCCCCUACACCGAAAACGUAUUCCGUCUGAAGCGUUUUCUUCUAUAUCGUUUUAAAGAAAACAAAUUUUUACCAGGACUUUGACUGGCUAUAACUUUUUAAAUAUAACUCCAAAUGAAUUGAUUAUUUUUCCUACAUCUUUCAAACAAUUUUUUUGUGCCAUUUUGAAAUUGUGUGUUAAUUCCAAUAUCGUUGUAUGACAAUUUUUUUGUGCUGUUUUGAAAUUGUGUGUUAAUUCCAAUUUUUUUGUGCCAUUUUGAAAUUGUGUGUUAAUUCCAAUAUUGUUAUAUGACAAUUUUUUUGUGCUGUUUUGGAAUGCACCCUGACUCUCCACACCUUGAAGGCAAGCAUCCUGAACCAUGGCAUAAUUUUUUUGGUGUGUUAGUUGACGCGGUUAUAACACCACCUUACUUCUGAAAAACUCGUUAUUUUAUGUGGUAAUUUGAUCUUUUGCAUGAAUGCAUAUUAGUGAUUUUCCUUGCUGUUGGAAAUGAAUAUACUUAUGAUGGUAAUCAUCCUCAUGUGCCUUGCAUGCAUGCCGGAAAGGAAUCCGUGAAGGCCUCUGCCUUGGGUAGUCGUGAGCUUGUCACCGGUCUCCGUUGGGACGGUUAUGUCCGGUAUGGCAUAGUAAGGUAUAAUGAGCGGUGAUCCUAUUGAUUGAAAUAUGUUUGUUUUACAUUUCAUGCAGGUAAUACUUAAGCCUCCUGAGUCGGCCAUAGAUCGAGUCUUGUUCCAGUAACCCCGAUACUUGUUUCGUGUUGCCACUUGUCCCUGCCGUAGGUAGGGUAUGGUUCAGUAAGUUGUCAACCCUUGCCUUGGCACACACCGUACAGAGAGGCCAUGGUGGAAGAUACCGGCUGCAUCCGGUAGGCAUGCCACCUGGUCCGGGAGCAUGGGUGUUUUCGGUUGGGACCGAGAGGGGGGCACCCCUUAGAGCGCGCGAUAGAAAUUUGAUCCCAUGCUACGCGAGGUUGUAGCCUCCCCACUUAGUGUUUUGCUUAACAAGUGUCGUGGGUGAUUCCAGACACGAGUAAAGUUAAGCUGGUGUGUGCAAGUCAGGCGGGUUUUCGACUAAAAGACCGUAGACGGAUUAGUCCCGAUGGACUAAAGAAAUCCGUUACUCGUGGGUAAAGAGUACACCCUCUGCAGAGGUAUUAAACCUAUUCGAAUAGCCGUGUCCAUGGUUAAGGACUACAGUCUGGGUCGGGUCAAGUGUCGGUCUUAGUGUCGGUCUUCGAAGGAGAAACUGCUAAACCAGAACAUGGAUCAUGAUUUGUGACUUGUGUUGAUUAUGAUGAUUAUGAUUAUUUUUUUAAUCCUGGACUAACUAUUGCCAUUACUUGAUUUAUUGAGUAUCCUUGGGACAGUUCUACCUCCUGGAUAUUCACCAUAAUCGUUUUCUUUUUAAGCCCUUUAUGUGGCAUCGCACAAACGCCCGACUGUGGUAUGUUUGUUAUUUAUUUUAUAAGCCCUUUAUGUGGCGUCGCACAGACGCCCGACUGUGGCAUGUUUGUUAUUUAUUUUAUAAGCCCUUUAUGUGGCAUCGCACAGACGCCCGCCUGUGGAAUGUUUGUUAUUUAUUUUACAAGCCCUUUAUGUGGCGUUGCACACACGCACGACUGUGGCAUGCUUGUUAUUUAUUUACCAUAUAAGCCCUUUAUAUGGUGUCGCUUAGACGCCCGACUGAGGCAUGCUUCAUAUCAUGGCCCUUUCGAGGGGUCGCUUCAGACACCCGAUCGGUGCAUGUAAAUUCUACCCCAUUAUUGCAUAUCCAUGUUGCAUAUAAAUAACCUGCUUGCAUGCAUCAGAGAUUUUAUUUUAUGACUGACGAUGUGAUCAUAGAAUGUUUCAGCUCAUGAUCAUCAUUUAUAUUAUACCCGUGUUCAUAAUGUUUGCGAGUACAUUCAAAGUACUCACUGGGUUGUCCCUGGCUAUUGUCUUCGCCAGAUUUCUUGCAUGGAGAGGAGCGUUGCGAUGACAGCCCCGGAACCUAAGCAAUGGUGAAAGCAGCCUCGCGAAGAUAGGAGUUACCUGGUCAGCUUUUCCUAUGGGAAAUGGAGUUCCAUGGACACUGAUGAUCCACAAACCGCUUCCUCUAUCAACCACUAGAAACCAUUUGUUGUACUCCCAGGCCGAAAUUGUCUUGUACUACAUAUUAUAAAAUUUUGCUUGGAAUUUCUGUAUCAAGUUGUUCCCUCAUCAGCUAACAGUAAUCCUGCGGCUGGUGAGCACAAGGGCCAUUUUCUGGAAAUUAAUACCCAGAAAACCGGUCGCAACACUUACAUUGCACCCAUGAUAAUCACUAAAAUCAAAAAAAUAGCUAAAUAAUUUGAAUUUGCGGGGUCGGCUGCGACCAAUUGUUUAGGGUGCUUAUUUGGUGGCCAAAUGACGUCCGAGGAGCUCUUUACAUAUAAACAUAUCAAAUUUUGUCCUCAAAGUUAUGUACGCAUAGUUCGAGCAGAAGUUGUAUUUUGGAUAUAUGAAGCUCAUUUGAUAAUAUUUGCUCACCAAACUAUGCAAGCACCUGAAACACUUGUUCAAUAAUGCCCCAAAGUUUUUUUCUAUUUGUUAUGAUUUUACUCUUCAGCGUGGGUAAGUUGCACUUCAGUGUAGCCACAACUUUUCCUUCCCAUCCCGCAUCUCUGAUGGUAGGAAGCUCGAGGUACCGGUCAGGAGUUUUUAGUUGGAAGGAUUUGGCGAUCGUGACUCCAAGGUCAUAUGUAUCCAGGGGUACUAUUCUAGGGACAAAGCCAUUAGGAGUUGCUUUUGAUCGUGAUCCUUUUGAGCAGUUAUGGCAAUGCCCAAACUAUGCUACAUUAACAUACAUGAAUUUGUAUGACAGUGGGAAGUAAUGUCGAAUUAUGAAAAUGAUAGAGGGAGACAAUCUUCCCCUUUCGGCCCCCACGAUGCGAAUAACAACCUUACUCCUACUUGUCUAGAAUUAUAUGUAUCAACAGGUAUAGUGUGUGUGAGGGGGGAGGGGGAUCCUGCGAGCCCUGUACACUAGGUUUCUAGCACAUUUGGUGACCAGUCUUGACCAAAUGUACAAGUUCAGAUCUAGUCUAGCCUGAAGCUAGGGCUUCCAUUCAGUUAUCUUGGCCCUCCAAGCAGAAGUUGUCACCUCUUUUUCACGUGCUAAUGUAUUUAUAAAUGGUUUGGGGUCAGAUGGACGCCUUCCUUUCCUAGCCUCCCGUUCGUGAAAAGCUUGAUAAUUCCACUGUCAUGACAUGUCCUCCCUCCUUUAAAGGAGUUCCUGGGGGUACCCGUCAUCCAAAUUUAACUUCUAGGAGUGACCCUUCAUGGGAGUGGGUUUGACAUUCGCGAAAGUUUCCUUCAGGCUUACAUGGCUUGGCAUGGGCCCGAUCCACCUUUUUCCUACAACAUAUCACCUACCCGUAUACUACACCUUCAACCAAUGUGAGUAAACAACCCCUUGGUUGCCCGCUCCACCUAGAUACGUGCUGCCAAAACCAACUCCCGAUGUUCCUGUAUCUGAAGUGUUGACCAGAUCUGAACCCGGUGGAUACUUGAGCAGAUAACUUAAAGAGGAGAAUAUAUCUUCUUUCUUCAAAUUUUGCAUUCGUUAUAUAUUUCUCUCAAAUCUUGCUAAAACUAUUUUUUAAUACACAUGAAAUUUCCAUGUAACAAUUUGCGUAAAACAUCAUCUACACAACUAAUGAAUCAACUGGGAGGCUACAUGCAUAUAUCUAAUUUGCUCGUGGUAAUUGUUUAAAUAUGUCAAGUUGAAUCAAUGAUAAAUAAAAAACAAAAUAAGAAAUUAAUUAUAAAAUAUUUCAAUAUUAAUUAAUGUGGAUGAGAGGCAUAAUGUAACCAUGACUCCCUGAUAGGAAGGUAGAACAAACGGCAGGGUUGAUUUUAUAUCCGUGUGUUGCUUCCGAUAAUUUACCUGUCGGCAAACAAAAAGAACAAUGAUAGAUCAAACUAUGUGCUUUUGGUUAGCAGCAUACGCGAAACACAGUUGAAGAACUGUAAUGAUGGUAUGCCAUGAGAUGCUUUCUUAGGUGACUAAUUUAUGAUUUUGAGAUGCCCUUUACACACUUACCUAAGUUGCACCACUAGGAAAAGGCAUGCUAGUGGCGCACCAGUUUUGCCUACUAAUGGCGCACUACUGGUGCGCCACUAGCAUCAUGCCAUUAGAAUUAAAUUCUAAUGGCGCACUACUCGUGCACCAUUAGUAUCUGGUGUUCUAAUGGCGCACUAAGCAGUGCGCCAUUAGAAUUGCCUAUGGUGCGCCAUUAGAAUUCCUCCAAGGGGGGCAUAUGUACCCAUGUGCUUUUGCUUUCUAAUGGCGCACUAGUGGAUGAUGCGCCAUUAGUGUGAUUAUUACAGUGCGCCAUUAGUGUCUUGUGUAGUGCGCCAUUAGUAUUAUUAUUAGUUUUUUUUGUUUUUUUCUGAUUUUUUCACAGGUUACAAAAUAUUUUAUUUGACAGAAUAUAGACAGCACCUCACAGCAACAGCAGAUUCAUCGAAUACAAUAGAAGGUUAGUCUCCGAAUACAAUUCAUCAUAUUAGUCUCCGAAUACAAAAGACCGAACGAAGAUAGAACAUUACAAGUCUCGGAGACCGCGAGUAGCGAGUUUGUCUUCACAUUACAAGUCUAUAUAUAUCAUCUAAACUACCAUCACAUAGAAGAGAGCUGCGGUCAUCACGAUGAGCAUCAUCACGAUGAAACUGGUCUUCACCAGGUUCCUCCAAUGCUCCCUCCUCUCUCCCGCUAGAUAGCAGGCGUAUCUAGAUUCCACCUCUGCCCUAGUGAUGUACCCUUUGUAACUGUUACCGCUGAAAUGGUGAACCUGUCUCCGACACUCAUCCCAGUCGUCCUAGACUCUGGGAACCUUACCCUUGUACACGACAUACGACGGCAUCUCUAUGCACAAGCCAGACAACAGACAAUACAUAAGCAAUAUAUAAGUAUGCAACAAAAGGAUCGAAAGAGAAAAGCAAGACAUUAAUAGCACGAUUCAUGGUCCUACUAAUAAAUAGCAUCUAUUACAUCUAAGUUGAACGACUGUCCAAAUCAAAGAGACAUACAAGUUCAUUAAAGUUUAAUUACAACAUGAGCUAAUCGAUGUUUCAGAACUACAAAUAGCAUUACUACUUUCGACUCGACUCAUGGGGCCGGAGCGUGGAUGAAGCCGCCGUCUUUCGUGAUGGUCAUGAAGUCGCGGGCGUUGUCAGCCUGCAUUUGAAGUGUUGUGUCUAUCUCACUGUUGCACGGUUGCUCUCUGAGGUAGAACUGCCCCGAGGUACGAAGGUCAUCUUGAUGGAUGAUUUCUUCAAACUCCGACUGGAUGCGAAAAAAUUCUUGUCGGAGGUCUGCAUCCUGGAUUUCCGCCAAGCUUGCGGCCCAAUCUUUGACAUUAUUUGGUGGCAGAAGGUGAUUAUGGUCCCGUACGAUCGCCCUCAUGUGAUGGAGGGCGUAGUAGGCAUCCUUCUGACCGCUAGGCGGCAGCUUGACGCAGGGGAACAUUGUAUUGUGGGUGAACACGUGCCUGCCGUACCUACGAACUGGCCUCUUAAAGGUGCCUCAGAUGUGGCGUAGCCGGGGAGAGCAUCAUCAAGAACUUUCUUGAUAUUUGUGUAGUCUAUCUUGGAGUCACGGUCCGGAUCAAAAUACGUGGCCGUGGAAUAUUUCGGGCUUAAGAGGAUGAGUGUGCAAUGUGUGUCACUGCACAGAAAACAGAAUGUUAGAAAAAAAAGAACGAUCAAAAAUCUAAUAAAUCAUAUGUUACGGGGCGGUGAGGGGAUGACUUACUCGGGAAAGUAAGGCACGAGGAAGUUAUCCUUAUCUGGGUUUUCCAGAAUGACGCCUUCGAGGUGUGAACUUGCGACUUGCCGGUCCCCAACGCUGCCCAAGAUCUUGGCAUGCAUGUAGAAGGGGUCGACUAUCACGAUGUUCGAGGUCUUGUCUCGAAUGAUCCGCAUCUCCAUACUCAGUGAAAAUAGCCAAACGAAGGUGUAGUGCAAUGGAUGAAGAUUAAACAUAGCAAAGAUGUCAUCAAACUGCAGGGCGAUCGUACCCCCGAUGGCACCAUCCACAAAGCCCUUGCCCUUUGGCACCUUGGCCACGAAAACCGGGUAUGCCACAUCUUUCUGGGAGAGACGCCACUUCUCCAAAGAUAGAACGUUGUCAUGCAAACUCCACAUAGCACCGGUUGCAGCAUUGAGCAUAUUUGUCGGUAGCAUCGCCCUACCCGCCACAUGCACCCUCCUUGAGAUAUCCUGAGGUGAAGGUGGCCCGUCCUGAGCACGGAUCAUACUCGGUGCCGGCUGGCUCGCACCGGCGCCCUUCGCAGUCUUUCGUUUCCAUCCCUUCUUCUUGAUCUGCUGUAAUGGGACUGAGUUCUGCUCACAGACCGCCUUCUUGAGUGUGUUGGGCUGAUAAUAUUUCGCACCUCAGCUAUCUGAGGCUCGGUGAAGGAGGGAGCUGGAGGUGUCUCCUGAGAACUGAACGCCAGAUGACGCCUGUUGCAAUUGGAUUUCUCCGCCGUACCAGCUAGAUCGCGAUCGUCUUGGUUGGGUUCUGGAGAAGGAGGCCCGCCGAACUCGUCACCGUACCCAUGUUCGGCAAAGUACUUAUCGACGUUGGUAAAUGUACCGUCAUUGUUGUCAUUGUCGUCCAGAUCCUGUGCCAUAUGCAUGUCCGGAUCCUGUGCCAUAGGGAUGUCCGGCAUGUCCGGUAGCAUUGCGGCGUUCUUGCCAUGGCACGGCGCCGGCACGACUGGCAGUCUUGUCUGUGGGGUGUUGUCCCCCGCCCCCAAACAAAUCUGGCUCUUCGGACAAAGCAGGGGCCAGCUUAGGCAGGCGCCGAGGGUCAUCAGAUCUUUUCGUCGGCCCCGGCGGGUUGAAUCAGAGGUAACAACUCGGGUGGCAUCGGUUUACCAUGGAACACGGGGUUGCCCGGUUGAACGUUAUUGCCCUUGGCGACAUCGACCAACUCGUCGUUCACGAAGUGCAGGAGAGUGCACGGAAUGUCGGCAGCGCCCUGCGAAAACAUGUAGGGCGUCAGGGAUGCCAAGUCAAAGGCAAAAGGAGAUGAAGUCCUCAGCCGAGAGGCUUAAUUAUUUACCGUGAUGAUGGCGUCGACCUCGGCUAAUGUCGAGGCACCGCCAACGGCGCGCGUGCAACUGACGGAGAGGCCGCUUGCUGGCGAGGUGCUGGCCGGCGUACACCCGGGUGCAUUAAGCUCCAAUGCCUAUGCCGGCGCCGGAGACACCAAUACCGCCGCCACUGAUGACACCAAUGGCGCCGCCAGAGACACCAAUGGCGUCGCCUGCGCGUUGUGCGAGUUGCUGGCCGUCAAGCUGGGAAUCGGGGGCGGCCCCUAUUGGCCACCCGCAAUCCACGUCGUCAGCCCAUGUAUCAAGGUAGGAAUAAUGCCGGUGAGCGUCGUCCCCAGUUGUACUUGCACUUGCUCUUGGAUAAUCUCCGGAAUCAGCUCCACUUGUGCCUUGAGUUCUUCAACCUCGCGCAACUGGCUUUCCGAGCUGGUCUUCUUCUCCUUUCGCCCACCAGCGGUAUAGUAUGACGACCAUUUUGUGGACAAGCCUUUGCCGGCCACACGACCUGCUGACGUUGGCUUACUGAGCUUAUCCUUGUUUUUCAUUAUGUUCAACGCCCUAUUUAGAGUGUUUUCCCAAGCAGGGGUGCUCUGAGACGACCCCGCGCUACUGCUUUCAGUCUCCUUCGCAAGAACAAGCUCAAGCGCCCUGGUCUUCGGAUCCGUGGUAAGCUCCUUUGUUAUCGGGUCCUCCUUGUACCGGGCCCUGACAAAGUUCCUGGUCUUCUUGUCACCGAUGUAUUUCUCGAAGCGGGGCGGUAGGCCUUGCUCGGCACGCUCCGCGUCCUCCUUGUCCCAUAUAGGCUCCGCCACUCUGUAACCGCCAGGACCGAGUUUGUGUUCCCCUAAUUAAGUUCAACUCCCGCAUUUCUUUCCCCCACUGACUUGAUUCGGAGGUUGCACUGCUCUCGCACUUGAUCUUGAACUCCUUGUAGUCAUCUUCGCUGAUCGAAGGAUUUUUCGCCUUGAUCUUCUCAUAACUAUCACCUUUAUCAAUCAUUCUCUUCACCACGCUUCUCCAAGUAGACAGGGCCGUGCUCAUCCUCGUGAGGGCGGCACUGUUCACUUUAUUCCCUGAGAGGCGUGUGUUUCCAAAUUCGGUGGGGAACUUGUAUCGUUCGUGCAACUUCGUGAAGAGGAGGUUGCGCAAAUUCCCUCGGUCCUUAUGCCUAAGGUUCUCGGUGUUGAUCGAGACGGUGCUCCGGAGAAUGCACCCGAGCUAAACCGAGUACCCCUUGACUAUAUGUUUGGGCUCCGUUGGAUGCCCGUCGGAGUCCACUUGAGUAAAUUCCUCCUUGAGGGUGCGGAGCGCAUUCGGGCGCCGGUCCUUCCUUUGUUUCUUCGGUUGGCUGCCAUCUGUGCGUACGCUGCCAUCAUCAGUGGUGGCAUCCUCGGCGGCACCAUCAGUUGUGUCAUCCCCAACGCCACUAGGGGUUGUGUAUUCAGGAUCGGUGUCUUCCACGGCGUCCUCAUAGCGGUGAGGUCGUUCCUCCAUCUCCUAGGACAGCUCCCAGAAUUGCUUGCCGCCCGAAUCGCCGGCCUCAUCGUUGUUGGCCAUGUUUCGCUCUAAAUAGGAAAAAAGUUUGGUCAAAAAGUUGGUUAUUGUCAAGGAACAAGAUCAUGGUCUCAUCAUUUAGGGUUUGUCUACACCGAGGCAUCCUAAAAGCUAAGCUUUUAUCAUUUAGGGUUUGUCCACGCUGAGGCACCCUAAAAGCCUAAGCGUACAUCACUUAGGUUCUCAUCGACACCGAGGCACCCUAUAGAAGCCAAGGUUUCAUCAUUUAGGGUUUGUUGACACCGAGGCACCCUAAAUGCUAAGUUAACUUUUCAUCAUUAAGGGUUUAUCGAUGCUGAGGCACCCUAGGUUGGGCCUAAUCACAUGGCACUAAUCACUUGGCUCUAUUGCCACCUAUGUUGGGUUUAUCAUCUAGGGUUUAUCGAUGCUAAGGAGAAUUCUAAGUUGGGCCUAAUCACUUGGCUCUAUUGCCACCUAUGGUUUAAUGCAGCAAGAAUGGUGGGGUUGUUGAUCCUACUUAACUAAGUACUAAGAUACCCCGGCCCAUGCAUUAGUCGCAAGUACCCCAUAUGUCCUAUUUUUAGCAAAGUCAUGCUAAAAAUUCGCGGAAAAUUUCAGCAUGACCUUUGCUGAAAAUAGGACAUAUGGAGUACCCGAAUUUGCCGGAACAGAAGUUAAUCGACAUUCCGGCAAACUCAAGGGCCUCUCGGGGUACCUGCAAAAUAAUUAUCCCCGCGUAAUGAAUUCGCCAAUGGGUCAUUUCAGAAGAUCACAAGUAGCAUCAUCACAAGUACAGCAGCAGCAGAAGUGAAUACAAGCAUAACAGCAGCAACAGCAGGUUUAUUCUUCUUCUUCAUAAACAUUAAUUGGUGUAGGUGACUCUAUCUACCCUCUAAUGACUCACUCAACUUAACAGCACAACCCACAAGCAUUGUUUUGAUUCCAACAGCUGCUGUAAAAUACAUCCAGCAAAGGUGCUCUAAAAUCAGAAAUACUACCCCCCAAAUCUUUAGCUCAAUUCUGAAAACACAUGGUCUUCUAGUUACAAUACUACCCCCAACAGUCAAAAUUUCAAACCACACACUUACUUUCAACUAUAAACAAAACUGACUUGCUGAUAAUGAACAUUGGCUAAAGAUAUAUAAAACUCCAUUGCAAAUGUGCCAUGUCAAUAAAACAACUCAUGGAAGUAAACUACUAGCAGGCUCAAAAGUCAAGUAAACUGAAGAUUAUGACAGCUUGCAAACACAGGACCAUGUCAUUAUCAUGGCAGUCCACUAUAUAUUUUUAUGACAAAAUACAUCAUUAUCAGGGAACAUUAUGGACAUUUUCUUACAUGAUGCUAACUGUACCUAACUGAACAUAUUUCUCACCUUGGAGGUGUUGCUGCUGCUGCACUGUCUGAACUUCACUUCCUUUACCUCCUUGGAAACCUGAAAUAUGCAGAUGUUAGAAAGGUUCUAAUUUUUAUAUGAUGAUUCUAAUAAACUGUCUAGAACAUCACAGCAUGCACAGUAAUAAGAAUAAUGUAAACAUUUGGCUUAGUUAUAAGCAUAGUAUACUUCUUAUAAACUGAAAGUGGAACUACUCACAAUGAAGAAGUAUUAGCAGAUAGUUUGUCAACUCAUGAAAUAACAUUUUUUCAGCCCAAAAUGGAUGCCAUUUCAUAACAUUGCAUAGCAUUAGUCAGACAGAGCUGAGCCUUUCACCACUAUAUAAUAUUGCCAUAUAAAAUUACAAAUUUAUGUAACUAGAAUUUUUUUUGUAUGAAACCUAGUCAAUGUGACAAUAUACAAACUACUGAUCUACUAGUUAUCAAGUUGAGAAAUUGACCGCAUAUAAGCAAAAGCAGUAUCCUACUGAUCCUACUUAACUAACUACUGAUCUACUGAUCUACUAGUUACUAGCUUGCAGCAUUAUGUCCUCUGGCACCAAGUUUCUGAUGCAAACCACUCUCUCAUUAUGGUUUUCUGCACAAGAAUGACAUUGCUUAAGAAUAACACUCAGAAUAUAAGCAACUACAGCCACGAGUCCAUGAAAAAUAACAAGGAUGAUGCAUUAACCGUGUCUUGCUGACAUGUGGGCGGGUCCUGUCAGUGAGAUUCAAAUCUCUAGGGUGUGCAUUUAUGAAAAAUCUCCUAUUAACAAACACAAAGCAACAGAAAAACAGAAUCUGGAUGGGUGUUUGGUUUGAGGAGCAACCUGCUCCUGCAAUCAUCAGAUGCUAUAAGAUCAGUGUGGUUAGUGCAAUGAAAUAGAAUUAUCCUUUGGCUAAACACUGAAGUGAAAGAAAAUAUUUAAAGUUGUGAAAUGCAUUCUAUAGAACUUGUUAAAUGAGCCUGUUCCCCCACAAAAUCUUUUGCAUGUCUUAUCCCACCGGAGGUGGAUGGUACUUGUCCUAGAGCAAAGUGCACCCUCAAACAAAGCAAAUCAACACGUUUCGCUUCAAAAGAUUUAUUCACACAAAUUAACCAUGUCAUUCUUAAACCUUGGACUGUUGAGUGUGUCAAAUUCAUCACAAGUAUUUAAACACUUAUGAACCCUAGAACACUUAUGAACCCUAGAACACUUGCUGUCCAAAACUGAACAGCAGCAAAAACAGUUGAAGAGAGGCUCACGUAGGAGGGCGUAGGAGGGCGCCAGCGUCGAGGAGGCAGCGGGCGGCGGCGCGUCGAGGAGGAGGCGGCGCGUCGAGGAGGAGGCGGCACGUCGAGGAGGAGGUGGUGCGUCGAGGAGGAGGAGGCAUGUCGAGGAGGAGGCGGCGCAUCGAGGAGGAUGCGGCGUCUCGACGGACGUACAGGCGCGGUAGACGGAGGGGAUGGAGGGGACGGAGGGGGCGGUACUCGNNNNNNNNNNNNNNNNNNNNNNNNNNNNNNNNNNNNNNNNNNNNNNNNNNNNNNNNNNNNNNNNNNNNNNNNNNNNNNNNNNNNNNNNNNNNNNNNNNNNNNNNNNNNNNNNNNNNNNNNNNNNNNNNNNNNNNNNNNNNNNNNNNNNNNNNNNNNNNNNNNNNNNNNNNNNNNNNNNNNNNNNNNNNNNNNNNNNNNNNNNNNNNNNNNNNNNNNNNNNNNNNNNNNNNNNNNNNNNNNNNNNNNNNNNNNNNNNNNNNNNNNNNNNNNNNNNNNNNNNNNNNNNNNNNNNNNNNNNNNNNNNNNNNNNNNNNNNNNNNNNNNNNNNNNNNNNNNNNNNNNNNNNNNNNNNNNNNNNNNNNNNNNNNNNNNNNNNNNNNNNNNNNNNNNNNNNNNNNNNNNNNNNNNNNNNNNNNNNNNNNNNNNNNNNNNNNNNNNNNNNNNNNNNNNNNNNNNNNNNNNNNNNNNNNNNNNNNNNNNNNNNNNNNNNNNNNNNNNNNNNNNNNNNNNNNNNNNNNNNNNNNNNNNNNNNNNNNNNNNNNNNNNNNNNNNNNNNNNNNNNNNNNNNNNNNNNNNNNNNNNNNNNNNNNNNNNNNNNNNNNNNNNNNNNNNNNNNNNNNNNNNNNNNNNNNNNNNNNNNNNNNNNNNNNNNNNNNNNNNNNNNNNNNNNNNNNNNNNNNNNNNNNNNNNNNNNNNNNNNNNNNNNNNNNNNNNNGGGGGAUGGUGCGGUGGGUCGUCGGCGGCGGUGGAGUGGGGGAGGGUGCGGGGGGUCAGCGGCAGCUGCCGGUGGAGCGGGGGAGAUGGUGCGGGGGGUGCUCGGCGGCGAGGGGGACCGAAUCUGGCGAGGUGAGAUAGCGAUGGAGAUCGAGGGGGAUCGAGAUCGAGUGUCCAUGAAAUUUAAAAACCUUCAUGAGUUCAAAAAGUGCCCAUGAAAUACAAUCGAGAAAUGAAGGCUACAAUUUAAAUACAAUUGAUCCUAGCUAGCUAUCUGUUCACAAUCUUCUUGCCCUUAUUUUUCAUAAAUGGAGUUCUUCUCUUGAACGGACGUCCUUUAGGUAGGGUGGUCUUGCUUCUUCUUCUGGUGUAUGCUGAUACUUCAUCGUCGUCAUCAUGUUCCAUCUUCGGGUCGCCAUACUUGUCGAAGUCUUGCUCAUUGGCGAGUCCAUCCAUUCCGAUGAUCUUCCUUUUGCCUCUCCUCAUGACAACACGACUGGGCUUUGGUGGGUCGGUAAUGAAGAAACAUUGGUCCACUUGGGAAGCCAGUACCCAUGGCUCAUUUUUCGCAGUGAAGUUUGCGCCCGUGGUCUUGGAUUUGGCUUCGGGUAUAACCAUGGUGGUGAAAUACCGGUCUUCUUUUAUGACGCUCUUGGCCCACCUGACACGGAACAUCGGGACCUUAUCUCCUCGAUCCUUCCGUAGUAUCUGUCCUUGUCGUUACCAGUGCAGGAUUCCAUCGUUACCCCGGAGUUAUGAUAACCAUCGCUCUUCAUGUCCUUGUCGUCGGUGUAGAAUGUGUAGUCGUUGAUAUCGUAUGCCUCAUAGGUCAUCAGGUUGUGCUCGGCGCCCUCUGACAAGGCGAAUAUGAGUUGUUCUUCCGCGGAAGAAUUCUCAUGUAAAGGGUACGACAGAAGCUUUUGCUUGAACCAACGCGUGAAACAUGAGUUGUGCUCUUUGAUUAUAUCUCCGUCCGUCCUCUGUUGACCUCGGUCAUUGUACGUCUUCACAAUAAAGGUUUUGUGCUCUACCACCCAAGGAUCGACCAUGUCUAUGUGUUGUAGCGCGACUAGGUUUGCUCUUUCAAAGUCGGCGAGUCGACCCUCGAAGUCGACAUGCAUUUAGCGGCGACCCUCACGCUGACCCCAUCCAGUGAGCCUGCCGAGGUGCCUGUUGACGGGCCGACCAACGGGGUCCUCGAUGCCUAGAUAAUUCGUGCAGUAGGAGAUGCACUCUUCGGUCAGAAAGCCCCUGACUAUGCUUCCUUCUGGACGUGACAUGUUGCAAACGUAUCCUUUGACGACACCAUUCAUCCUUUCGAACGACAUCAUGCUGUGCAGGAACGUCGACCUGAGUUGGAUGAUAUCCUCCAUGAUAUGGACCAGCAGAUGCACCAUAACAUCGAAGAAUGCGGGUGGGAAGUACAUCUCAAGCUCGCAUAGUAUCACCACGAUCUCUUCCUCGUAGCCUUCUGAGUUGCCUCACGCCAACCGACUUCCGAGAGCUGACGUCGAAAAAGUUAAAUAGGCCAAAUAGCGUUUCACAGACAUGCGCGUCCAUGAUCCCACGGAUUGCAUUUGGAAGUAUCUGCGUCAUCAGCACGUGACAGUCGUGAGACUUCAUCCCGCUGAACUUCUGCUUCACUGGGUCUAGGUAUCUGCUUAUCUUCCCCUCAUAACCGUAAGGAAGUUUUACUCCUACGAGGCAGGUGAAAAACUGAUCGAUCUCCUCCUAACUUAGAGUGAAGCAUGCGGGAGGGUAGUCAUUUCCGGUCUUCUUGGCCUUUUUGCCUUUGCGACGACUUUCCGUGUCGUGCUUCGCCUCAUCAUCAUCAUGAUCAUUAGCGUGAAGCUCCUCCCUGAUGCCCAUUGAUUUCAAGUCUGCCCUUGCUUUCGGCCCAUCUUUGGUCCUCUUUGGCAUGUUGAGCAGGGUACCAAGCAGACUCUCGCACACAUUCUUCGUGAUAUGCAUGACAUCAAGGCUGUGAGGCACAAAGUGGAUCUUCCAGUACGGCAAGUCCCAGAAAACAGACCUCGUUUUCCAUACCUUCAGCAGCGGCUCUGGGGCCUUUCGCUUCUUUCCCGGCUCUGGUGCCUUUUGCUUCUUUCCCGGCAGUGGGCAAUCUUUCCAAUUUUUCAAUAGCUGGUCUAUUUCCUCGCCGCUCCUCGUACGCGGGCGUCUUCGGGGUUCGGUUUCACCAUCGAACAGAUCCUUGCGUUUCCUCCACGGGUUAUCCUCACGAAGCCACCUUCGAUGUCCCAUGAACACAAUUUUCGAAGACCCGGGAUCUCUAUCUAGCUGGCGAUACGUUGUGUCAUCCAUGCACCUGACGCAUCCAGAAAAUCCGUGGACCACCUGCCCUGCGAGAUAUCCGUAACCGAGAUAGUCGUGCACCGUCAUGAGCAGUGCGACUCUCAUAGGGAAAUAUUCUUUCUGUGCGGCGUCCCACGUAUUGGCUGGCGUUUUCCACAGCGUGUCUAGCUCCUCUUUCAGCAGCCCUAGAUACAGAUUGAUGUCGUUCCCUGGUUGUUUCGGCCCUUCAAUUAGCAUACUCAUGUGAAUGUACUUCCUCUUCAUGCACAACCAGGGGGGAAGGUUGUACAUCCACACAAACACAGGCCAGGUGCUAUGUGUGCUUCUCUGGCUGCCAAACGGAUUGACUCCAUCGUUGCUCAUGCCCAGCACGAUGUUCCUUGGAUCCUUCCCAAUUUCUGGGUGUUCGAAGUUCAACGCUUGCCACUGGCUCCCAUCCCUAGGGUGACUCAGUAUAUUGUCUUUUUUAUUUAUCUCCAGAUCAUUUGCGUCAUCUUCUCGCUUCUUCUCCUCCCUAUCAGCGUGCCAACGCAGGAGCUUUGCUACCUUAGGGUCCACGAAAUACCGCUGCAGACGAGGAGUGAUCGGAAAGUACCACACCACUUUUCAAGGAGCUUUCUUCCUCUUCUUGUAUCGAGUGAUGCCGCACACCGGACAUAUGGUAGACUUCGCGUGCUCGUCCCGAUAAAUGAUGCAAUUGUUCACGCACACAUAGUAUUUCACGUGCGGUAAAUCCAUAGGACACACGAUUUUCUUUGCCUCCAAGAAACUGGUCGGGCACUUGUUCCCCUUGGGAAGAGUUCGCGCCAGAAUGACAUGUUCUCGUCGAAGCACGCGUCGGUCAUUUUGUGUUUUACCUUCAUCUCCAGAGCCAUGAGCGUUACUUUCAGGCGGGUAUCCUCGGGCCUGCAUCCUUCAUACAAUGGAGUAACCACGUCUAUCUCCAGUUGAUCCAGCUUGGCUUUCUCUCGGGCGGCAGCUCUUGCGUUAUCCGUCUGCUUGAAAAGCAGCUCUUGAACAAGAGGGUCCUGCACCCAGCCCAUCAAUGGUCCAUUGUCGUCUGCUCCGCCGGCAUCUUCGUCUUCAUGAUCAUGCCCUUCGUCUGCUUUGGCAUCUUCCUCAUCAUCACGUCCUGCAUCUUCUACAUGAUGACUGUGUACAUCAUCACCAUCGUGAUCAUGUCCUGGAGAUUCUUCGUCUUCUCGCCCGCCCGAGUCUUGCUCAUUUCUUGCCGCCCAACCCCCAUGGACGACUUCAAAGUCAUCUUCAUCACCUUGUCACCGAUAGCCAUCCAUGAAACCAUGCAAGAGCCGGUGGUCCCGCACCUGCCCGGAAUCCGGGUCCACAAUAAGGCUCUUCAGCUUGCAUCUUCGUCACGGACAUCUUAUCUCCGUCUCGUUCUUCGCGGAGCUCAAAAACCUAUUCACGAUGCCUUCGGUCAUCGUGCGGACCAAUGUCGCCUGCGGGGUAGAGCAAAAUGAUAUUUUAGAACCAAGAAAUUUUUUGGCAUGGCUUUCCGUAUAAAUAGGACCAAAAAGAAUGCAUAGUGCCAAAAUUCUCGCCGAAACGGAAAUAAAUCAACAUUCCGGCAAAAUAUUGGCAACUAUCGCAUUUCAAAUACCGGUACCUGCAAACACAAACAUAUAUGCAACACCACAAACAUAUGCAACACCACGAACAUACAUAGAUCUAGCUAUAGGCCACAAAAAGUGCAUGUGCACGUUGUUGGAGAGGGAGAACAACAUAAAGAUAGCUUCCCCCUUACUUACCUAUCAAAAAAAGGUUAUUUAACCACUUAAUUUGGAUGAAUCUAUGGUGCAAAUGAGGUGAGGAGGAGGAGGCAGCCGAGACAAGCUUGGAGGAGGAGGUGGAGAGAAUGAAGUGGGGAAAGUGAGUAGGUAGGUGGGCUAGUCCAAAAUAUCUUGUUGGUCCCAGGUUACUAAUGGCGCACCACCUGCAAAUGCGCCAUUAGUAACCCUGGUUACUAAUGGCGCACCUACUGCUGGUGCACCAUUAGAAGUUUUGCAAAAAAAAAGUAUAUAUUCUAAUGGCGCAAGGCGGCACAAUGCGCCAUUACCUUGUUUAAACUAGUAAUGGCGCACCCUGCCAAGAUGCGCCAUUAGAAUCUUUGGAAAAAUAAGAAAAAAAAAGUUUGACACUAAUGGCGCACCAUGCACAUGGUGCGCCACUGCUACAUAGUAGUGGCGCACCACAUGUCAGGUGCGCCAUUAGUGGCCAUUCCAUCUAUAGCCCUUUUUGUAGUAGUGUUGACAACUAACUCUAUAAUGCCACUAAGACUUGAACACUAUUGUUUUGUACUAUUUUCGACUUAAUAAUGCAUCUUGGUGCCAUGGUGGUAGUAUAUUUUAGAUUCGGAUCAUGGCAUACACAAGGAUCAUCUAUCGAUUAUUAAUUAAGUGCUAAAGUAUGUGGUGGCAAUAUAUGGACCUAGCUGGGUUGAGAUUUGCUACAUGUAGGGGAGUACGACAACAUCAGUUGUAUCAUGCAUGAUGAGAUAGAGCUUACAGAAACUUGUAUUAUCAAGCGUCUACUUUUGAAAUAUACAUAAAAAGGAAGUAAAACUUGUAGGAAAAAUUAUUGGUUGGUCAAAUAAUUUCAUUCUUCUGGAAUGUAUGACCAUAUUAAUAAUGAAGUACUUGACUAGACUAACGCUUCUACUGAACCCUCUCAGGUAAACGCCAUGAUGGUGUUGCAUCUACCCUUAUAUGCUUAUGUCUGGAACACAUGCUCUGCUUUUGGAUUUAUCUCUAUAAAAAAUACACUAUUCGAGGAAUCGUCAGAGUUUUCCCCGUGUUUAAUGUUUAUACUGAAAUUUGUAAUUUUGAUUAGCAGUAUAAGGGUCGGUAAAAUGCCAUUCAAGAUAUGAAUAGACGGUAAUGCACCAGGCGCUCUCAUAGAUGUGUAAUUUAUGAUCUUAAGAUGCUCUAUGCGCUCGUGGUAGUUUGGUUAAAUAAAAUUAGCCAUGAGUUUAUGGAAAAUUAGUUGUUAGCUGGUUUUUAGUAAAAUCGGUUUUGCUAGCAGUUUUGUGAAUAAUCAGUAUAGGAAAAAUAGUGUUUAGGAUUAGGAAACUGUAAAGAUGGACAUGUGAUUUGCUUGUUUGGAUAAAAUUCCAUAUUCCUCUCUCUGUGAGUUGUGGAAUGAGGAUGGCAAGAAAAAGGUUUGGGUCGUGAGGAAGUUAGUUAGGAUCCCGUAUUGCAAAAUCGCGUUUUUGAAAAAAAAGUAGUUUCUCUACAAAUGUGAAAUCCUGAAUUUACUUGAAAAAAGGUCUUCAUAUACGCGGGUUAGUUAGAAUAGCCCAGAAAGAUUCUAUUUGGUAAGACAGUUUUUCAAGUUUAUAGGACUUGUGUUUUGUAUAUACUAUCUAUCCUAUCAACCCUAGCUAAGUUGUGAACUCUAUAUUGCCAUCAAUACUUGAACGUACUACAGUUCUGUCUUGUUUGGACUCCCAACUGAAUCGUGGUAGUUGUACAUUUUGUACUCAGUGCAUGUCACACACACCAUGAUUAUCUACUCAUUGUUAAGUGCUAGGUAUGUGUUGGCAAGAUAUCCAACUAUUUGGCUUGAUAUCGGGCACAUGCAGGGCAGUACUCCAAAGUCAACUCUAAAUCAUGAUGGGAUCAAGCAUACAUAAACAAGUAAAUGUUCGUAUGAAAGUCCAGUAUCAACUAUGAGAUCAUGAAUGGCCAACUGGAGGGGCUAAUUUAUGAGUGCAUGUUGCGGCUCAAAGCUCUAUAAAUAGGAUCUGAACCCGGUGGAUUCUUGAGCAGAUAACUUGGAGAGGAGAAUAUAUCUUCUUUCUUCAAAUUUUGCAUUCGUUAAAUAUUUCUCACAAAUUUUGCUAAAACUAAUUUUUUUAAUACACAUGAAAUUUCCAUGUAACAAUUUGCGUAAAACAUCAUCUACACAACUAAUGAAUCAACUGGGAUGCAACAUGCAUAUAUCUAAUUAGCUCGUGGUAAUUGUUUAAAUAUGUCAAGUUGAAUCAAUGAUAAAUAAAAAACAAAAUAAGAAAUUAGUUAUAAAAUAUUUCAAUAUUAAUUAAUGUGGAUGACAGGCAUAAUGUAACCAUGACUCCUGACAGGUAGGUAGAACAAACGGCAGGGUUGAUUUUAUAUCCGUGUGUUGCUUCCGAUAAUUUAUCUGUCGGCAAACAGAAAGAACAAUGAUAGAUCAAACUUUGUGCUUUUGGUUAGCAGCAUACGCGAAACACAGUUGAAGAACUGUAAUGAUCCCCCGCAAAAAAAAGAACUGUAAUGGUGGUAUGCCAUGAGAUGCUUUCCUACGUGAGUAAUUUAUGAUCUCGAGAUGCCCUUUACACACUUACCUAAGUUGACAACUAACUCUAUAAUGCCAUUAAUACUUGAACACUAUUGUUUUGUACUAUUUUCGACUUAAUAAUGCAUCUUGGUGCCAUGGUGGUAGUAUAUUUUAGACUCGGAUUAUGGCAUACACAAGGAUCAUCUAUCGAUUAUUAAUUAAGUGCUAAAGUAUGUGGUGGCAAUAUAUGGACCUACCUGGCUUGACAUUUGCUACAUGCAGGGGAGUACGACAACAUCAAUUUGUAUCAUGCAUGAUGAGAUUGAGCUUCCAGAAACUUGUAUUAUCAAGCGUCUACUUUUGAAAUAUACAUAAAAAGGAAGUAAAACUUGUAGGAAAAAUUAUUGGCUGGUCAAAUAAUUUCAUUCUUCUGGAAUGUAUGACCAUAUUAAUAAUGAAGUACUUGAUUAGACUAACGCUUCUACUGAACCCUCUCGGGUAAACGCCAUGAUGGUGUUGCAUCUACCCUUAUAUGCUUAUGUCUAGAACACACGCUCUGCUUUUGGAUUUAUCUCUAUAAAAAAUACACUAUUCGAGGAAUUGUCAGAGUUUUCCCCGGGUUUAAAGUUUAUACAGAAAUUUGUAAUUUUUAUUAGCAGUAUAAGGGUCGGUAAAAUGCCAUUCAAGAUAUGAAUUGACGGUAACGCGCCAGGCGCUCUCAUAGGUGUGUAAUUUAUCAUCUUAAGAUGCUCUAUGCGCUCGUGGUUGUUUGGUUAAAUAAUAUUAGCCAUGAGUUUAUGGAAAAUUAGUUGUUAGCCGGUUUUUUAGUAAAAUCCAUUUUGCUAGCAGUUUUGUGAAUAACCAGUAUAGGAAAAAUAGUGUUUGGGAUUAGCAAACUGUAAAGAUGGACAUGCGAUUUACUUGUUUGGAAAAAAUUCCAUAUUGCUCUCUCCGUGAGUUGUGGAAGGAGGAUGUCAAGAAAAAAGUUUGGGGCGUAAGGAAGUUAGUUGGAUCCCGUAUUGCUAAAUCGCGUUUAAAAAAAACAAAUAGUAGUUUCUGUACAAAGGUGAAAUCCUGAGUUUACUUGAAAAAAGGUCUUCAUAUACGCAGGUUAGUUAGAAUAGCCAAGAAAGAUUCUAUUUGGUUAGACAGUUUUUCAAGUUUAUAGGAAUUGUGUUUUGUAUAUACUAUCUAUCCUAUCAACCCUGGCUAAGUUGUGAACUCUAUAACGCCAUCAAUACUUGAACGUCCUACAGUUCUGUCUUGUUUGGACUCCCGACCGAAUCAUGGUAGUUGUACAUUUUGUACUCAGUGCAUGUCACGCACACCAUGAUUAUCUACUCAUUGUUAAGUGCUAGGUAUGUGUUGGCAAGAUAUCCAACUAGUUGGCUUGAUAUCGGGCACAUGCAGGGCAGUACUCCAAAGUCAACUAUAAAUCAUGAUGGGAUCAAGCUUACAUAAACAAGUAUUAUCAUGCAUGUUCGUAUGAAAUUCCAGUAUCAGCUAUGAGAUCAUGAAUGGCAAACUGGAGGGGCUAAUUUAUGAGUGUGUGUGCUUAUAAGUAGGAUCUCUAGCUAGCUAGUACUCACAUCAACACAACCACGAAAAAAAAAACUUCCAUUUUUCUAGAUAGAGCUUUGAGCCGCAACAUCCGCCUUCCGCUCUUGCAAUGGCUUCCAGCUCCGUGCUUAAGAUGGUCGCCGUUUUCAUGCUGGCCCUAUUCGCCGGCCAGGCGCUGAUGGCUACGCCGGUGAUGGCAGAAGAACUAGGUAACCGACACAACCUUUUGGAGAAGUAUGAUGAGACGCAAUGUCGCGGAUACGCCACAUGCAAUAUAGUAUGCUUCUACCAAGUUUUUCGAGUCUGCAUCGUCUACAGCCCUGUUGCAUUCUGCAACACUUGGGCGUUUGGGUUCUGCAAGGACAAGAGAUAUUGAGGCAUAAAUGGCAGUGCAGCUCCUUUUGGGAUGCAUGCACAACUACACGAGCAACUCACCUCAUCAGUGUCAACUAUUGUUCCUUGGUUAUUGGCGUUGUGGGUUGUAAGAGUCCUAAUAUGUUCCUCCCUUUAUUUCCAGCUAUCAUGUAUGAGGGGCUUAACCAACUAUUUAAUUCCUUCAUUGUCUGUUAUCAUGGUACUUGUUCAACUAAAAAUCCCCCGUCGGAUACAAAUGUAUGUGUCGUGUGAUUAUAAAAUUGUUCCGCCGCUGCAACAUUUUUCUGUCCAUGAUGGCCAUAUAAGCAUGCUCUUU
rnacentral:lncRNA from 1 species